rnacentral:lncRNA from 1 species
UCUCUGUCUCUCUCUUUCCCCGCCCAGCAACAAAUAGCCGUAACUGGUAACUUGCUGUAGAGCAAGGCCUCCUAGUAUAACGACUAACUGUCUAACUGGGCAAAGUUGAAUGGAACCAAUCUCAGGAUAUGUUGAAAGAUCUCCAACACCAAAGGGGAGGAAAUCAUCAUAGCCAUUCAGAAAAGAAUAGAACUCAUCAACACACAACAGAAACAAAUAUGCUGUGUUCAGAAGACAUCAAUCCAAGUCCAGAUGGGCCGUUACUCACAUCAACACAAUAUAGAGGAAUAGAAAAAAAAANNNNNNNNNNUUGUGUUCAGAAGUUAAUUUGGACCACUAUGCUGAUGGCCGUAUUACUGACAAUGAAAGAAGCGAUUUACAUUUGUUCACUUAAAAUAAAAGGAGUAACUGCAAGCCAAAUAAAAAAAGGACAAUAUAAAUUUUCCAUUUUGGAACAAAAGAAAAACAUAAUAAGAUAGAUAUCCAAGUCAAAAACAAUAGUGUGUUCGACAUAUAUAGUUUGUACAACUAUACAAGCAAAAACAACGCCAGCUAUGUAUCCAUCUCGAAUCCAAAACAACAUGCAACUGAGCUGAGUAUAUGUAGCGUAGCAAAAGAGGGCACAGUUUUGCAUUUCAUCUUCAAGCCCAACACUCACAUCUCUUGCUUCAUAAUCUACCCAUCACAGUGUAUGAAAACUGCCCUGGUUAUCACUCAUCAGAACGACCGUCCAAGGCACAAAACAUCCAACAUUGGCGAUGAAUUGGACAGGAUGUAAGAGAGGUAAGGGCAUCCUCCAACGUCAAGAUCGAUUUUCAGGCAUUAUUUAGUCCCACCUCGCCAUGGCUGUCUUGAGGUCUCAAGACAUGAUUAUUUCAGCCACAAUCAUAAUCGUCAGCAUCGCCCCCCUUUUUUAUCGAAAAGAGGUUGAACCCCCAAGCAACAUGACCAUGAUAUCCAUAUAUACAUACUCCCUCCGUUCCAAAAUAUGCUCCCUCCGUUCCAGAUAAGUAUCGUGGUUUUAGUUCACAACACAUGACCUGCAUCCAUCCAUCCAUCCAUCUUGCUCAGGAGCUGCUCAUGCCUGGCCUCGACCGACCAAAACUCCAGCACCGACGAAGCAUCAGACAACACCGUACGGUUCCCAGCUCAAUCGCACAGCCGAAUCCAAGGCAAUGGGACGGCGGUGGCUGGCAGCACCGUAGCGGUGGGAACUGACGCAGUGGUCACCAGGACGAUGGGUCAGCGAUCCGGCAACGAUAGCUCGCCUGAUUUGGUUUAGGGUUUGGGUCUAGUGGUGUGAACUGCACGCACGCAUGCACCGAGAGAGAGAAUGAGGCUCUGUUUGAUAGCUCAGUUUUUUCUAAGUAUUAUAAGCAUACUACAGUUUUUUAGAAUACCAUGAUUUUAAUUACUGUGAGCUGUUUGGCAGCCCAAAAACUGUAGUAUGGCCAAAACUGUGGUAUUUUAUUUGUGUAAAAAGAAGAAUCCCAGAUCUGCGGUAUGCACAUUAAGCAAUAUAAAAAUCAUAUCGCUAAAAAAAAAAAAAGAACCCCAGACCUCUUUCUUUAAACAGAGCAAGCGAAAAGAGGCAUCGCACGCACACUUUAUUUUCUUCGCUGCUCCACCCACCGCUCCGCUCCGGCCACCGGCCCUGCUCCACACGCCUCGACUGCGUGCCAGAAGGUGGGCAAGCAGUCCCGUCGGCCAUUUCGUAGCUCCGCCUGCUGAGACACCUACACCAUGUUGUGAACCAUGCUCAUUGAUAAUCUACAAGUCUUGUGCAAGGCUGUUCUUCAUGCAUGUGGCUACCUGCUUCUACAGUUUGCGUGCAACGGCUUGACACUAUCAAACAGGUAGCCUGUAUUGCUGAUACUUCAAAAUUCUUUAAUAUGUAAAAACUGUGGUAAAUUAUGCCAACAGUCAAAAAUACUGUAGUUUUUCAAUACUUCGGUUUUUAGAAUACUUGUGCGAGAGAGAGAAAUGGGGAUCGUACCGGAUCCAGAGAAAAACGCAGCAAGGUUGCAAGAAAUCCAUCGACAGCGGCUCAGAUCCCGCUCGGCCCCCAGCUCGGACGGCCAUGGACGCCCACCCGCACUGGCGGCAGCCCCGAGGGGCCUCCAAGCCGAUGCGCGAUCCGACGAGGCAGGAGGGGGCCGGCGCCGGCGGCCCACUCCAUCCUAGGGAGGGACACGGCCCCAACCGAGGCGCGCGAUCAUCAGCCACGGCGAGCGGGGCGGGCGCGGCGACGGGAUGGCAAGCAUCAAUGGUGGAAGUUAAGGAGGACUACAAUGGCAAAUAUCAACUGAAAAAUUGAUAAUGGAUACGAAAAUUGGACCAAAAAACUGAAAAAUGGCAUCAAUAAGAAUCUGCUUUUAAAUUUGUUCAAUAAAAAGAUUUCACACCAUCUCACCUUUCCAGAAGGUGCACACAAAGAACCAAAGUCAUAGUUUUUUUUUUUUUUGAGACAAACCAAAGCCAUAGGUAAUGACAGGUUUCUUUUUCAAGCUACAGGCCGACAAUGCACAGAAUAUAUAUAACUUAAUUUUCACAAUGAGCCCAUGACCAUUCACAGUUGCCAAACGGGCAUUCUUCAAAUCAAGAAGAAACAAAGAAAAGUUAGUAGGGAAAUCAAGCUGUUUUCUGGAGGAUAUUCCAGAAGUUCUCACUGAUCAAAUUACUAUAAUCAAACAGUAGUAGAAGUAUCAAACACAGGUGUCAUAACAAACACAUGCACGAGGAAUAGUUCGUGAAAUCCAGGAAAAUUGUAGAGUAUUACUUGAAUGGCUCAGAUUUAACCCACCAUAAAUCACCAAAGUUGGACAACGCUUCAGGUAGUACUUGAAGCCUUAUGGUACCAAACAACAACAACAACAACAACAACAACAAAGCCUUUCAGUCCCAAACAAGUUGGGAUAGGCACGUGGAUAGCUAAUUUCCAUGCACCCCUGUUCAUUGCUAGUUCUUUGGUGAUAUUCCAAUCCUUCAGGUCUCCUUACCANNNNNNNNNNNNNNNNNNNNNNNNNNNNNNNNNNNNNNNNNNNNNNNNNNNNNNNNNNNNNNNNNNNNNNNNNNNNNNNNNNNNNNNNNNNNNNNNNNNNNNNNNNNNNNNNNNNNNNNNNNNNNNNNNNNNNNNNNNNNNNNNNNNNNNNNNNNNNNNNNNNNNNNNNNNNNNNNNNNNUUCCUAGUAUAACUACUAACUGUCUAACUGGGCAAAGUUGAAUGGAACCAAUUUAGGAGACAUGAAAGCAUCUAUAUCUCAGGAUAUGUUGAAAGAUCUCCAACACCAAAGGGGAGGAAAUCANNNNNNNNNNNNNNNNNNNNNNNNNNNNNNNNNNNNNNNNNNNNNNNNNNNNNNNNNNNNNNNNNNNNNNNNNNNNNNNNNNNNNNNNNNNNNNNNNNNNUCUUUUAAAAUGCCCAACUAUUUCUUAUAGUUGGGAAUAUUUUUUUCAGAAGGGGUCAAAAGCAUUUAUUAUAUUUUAUUUUUUGUUAAAAGCCUUUCUUUAUUUUAAGAUUUCCGUUUUAAAAGGAUUUAAAAAAACAAAGGGGGAGGACCCCAGGCCAAGGCCCAGCAGGCCAAGGCCCACGCCUCCCCUCCCCAGCCCUAGCGUCGCGAGCCAGCCCCUCGAUCUCUCCUCCCGCAGCGCCGUCGUCCUCAGCGCCAUCUCCCUCCUCUCGUUCCCCUGUGCCGAGUCCCAGCCCCGCCGCCAGUAGCUCCUCUGCGCCGCCUCCAUGGCCUCGGCGUCGCCCCUGCUUCCCAGGCCGUCGCCCCUACCUUGCCUCCGGUCGCCGCUCGCAGGCCCCGCGCGCCGCAGCCUCCAGCAGCUGCUCCGUCCCUUGCCCAGCGCCUCCCCAUUGCCGCCGCCAUGGCCUCCUCCUCCCAGCGCUCCCUCACGCCAUGGCCUCCUCCGUCCCCGUGCUCGCCAUGGCCGCCGGUCCCCUGCCGAUUUGCUGCUGCUGUGAAUGUUGUUGUUGCGCUAAGCUGUUGCGUUGCGUGCUGCCGAAGUUGUUGGUUCCUGCUGCCGCUGUUGCUGCGUUUGCUAACUGCUGAUGUUGCUCUGCUAGCUUGCCGCUGCUACCUGCCUGUUGCUACUGUGUCUGAUGCUGCUGCUUGCUGCCUGCUAUGGUUGUUGUUGCUUGCCAGGUUGCUGUGUUGUUGCCUGCUUUUGCCGCCUGCCCUGCUGCCGAGCUAGCUUGCUUGCCUGCUGCCCUGUUGCGUUUUGCUUGCUAGGGCCAUGUGUUGUUCCUUGCCGUGGCUGAUGCUUGCUAUUACGGCUAGCUGAAUCUGCUUGUUGUUAGUUGCUUUUGCUGUUAGGUGCUAGGCUAGGUUGCAAGCUAGCUGCUGCUUAGUGCUAGGUUGCUUGUUGUGCCAUAGCCGCUGCUUGUCGUAUUUGCAUUGCCAGUGCUAGUAGUUGUUGUCGUUAGAUGCCUUGAUGUAGAUGUUGUUGUUGUGUGGCCGCUGUCGCUGUCGUUGAAGACCGGUGCACCAUCCCCGCCACCGCGGCCCGAUGACAACUACGUCCUCGACAAACCCCGAACAUCGACGGAGACGUGGUCGACUACCGACGCCGAAGACCCGAGAACCACGACGCCGAGCGAACGACUACCGUCGACGAGACCGGUACCACGACUUCCAGGACGUCCACAACGACCGUUGUUCCCCUUCACUGGACCGAACCGUUCCGAUUCGCACGCGUCGAAGGUAUACCGAUGAGACGUGGCCGAGAACCGUAUGCAUGUGUUGUACGAGUUGAAUAUAUGUAUGCACCGUAUGUUUGACCAUUGCACGUUGUCCCUCUAUGUUGUGCCCGACACAUGGGAACCCGGUAANNNNNNNNNNNNNNNNNNNNNNNNNNNNNNNNNNNNNNNNNNNNNNNNNNNNNNNNNNNNNNNNNNNNNNNNNNNNNNNNNNNNNNNNNNNNNNNNNNNNGGAGUGGUUAUAACAACCUUGACUAAGUGUUACAUGUACUGGCUAAUACCCCCUUCAGCCGGAACGCCGUGGGGAAGGACGUUCAAGCUGUCCCGAAACUCAUGGAACACUUGAGACGGUAGGCCUUUGGUGAACAAGUCGGCAAACUGGGAGCUCGAGGGAACGUGAAGCACCCGUGCCUCACCGAGAGCUACUUUGUCGCGGACGAAGUGCAAGUCAAUCUUGAUGUGCUUCGUCCGUUGAUGCUGAACUGGGUUGGAGGCCAGAUAAGUGGCGCUGACAUUGUCACAGUACACCACGGUUGCACGAGCUGGAGGACAGCGUAGUUCGUGGAGCAACUGCCGUAGCCAACAAGACUCGGCCACGCAGUUGGCGACACCACGAUACUCGGCUUCCGCACUGGAUCUGGACACCGUUGGCUGCCGCUUGGAGGACCAGGAGACAAUGUUAUCGCCAAGGAACACGCAGAACCCGGAUGUAGACUUGCGGGUGUCAGGGCAGCCCGCCCAGUCGGCAUCCGUAUAUGCAAUGAGGUCCGUAGAAGAUGAUUUGUAAAGCUGAAUCCCAUAGUGUGAUGUACCCUGUAGGUAACGCAGAAUCCGCUUGACGAGGUGCAUGUGGGUAUCGCGUGGGGAGUGCAUGAAGAGACAUAUUUGUUCACAUUGCAUAGCUUUGACGAUGACAUUGUAUUGUGUGUGGACGAAAGUGAAGAAGCGUUGAAGGGUGGAGGAGGUGUCGGACUUGUUGCGUAGAGGAAACGACCACGAGUAGUGCGUAAAAUCGUCAAGUACAACCAGAUAGUAUUGGUAACCUGAGAAGCUUAUAACAGGCGGUGUCCACAAAUCACAAUGUAUUAAAUCAAAGGGAGCAAAGGUUUUGCUAAAGGAGGAAGAGAAAGGGAGGCGGGGUUGGCGGCCUAAUUGGCAAGCAGUACAAGGAGAGUGCGGGGCCUUAUUACAAGUGCUAAGAAAAUCAUUGGUAAUGGUGGACAUGGAGUGGGCGCCAGGAUGGCCGAGCCGGCGAUGCCAAAGAUCCGCCGAGGAGAUGGCGAAGAUGGAGGGAGGCGUCCUUUUGUUGUCGUAGAAUAGGUAGAGGUCGCCGUGACUAGCGGAGAUCAUUAGAACCCUCUGGGUGCGAAGAUCCUUCACAAUAAAACCAAAUGGGUAAAAUUCAAUAGAGCAAGAAUUAUCGCGAGUGAAACGGCGAACGGAGAUGAGGCUAGUGACGACCGUUGGUGAAACGAGUACGUCGGUGAGGCGAAAUUCGUAGGGGUGAAGUGUUGUGGAGCCGGAAGCGGUGACGGGAAGGUGGUUACCAUUGCCGACAAGGAUGCUUGAAGGUGUAUGCUUUAAAGAAUAAUUAUGCUUGGUCAGGUUACCUGGGUUUCCCGUCACGUGUGAGGACGCGCCGCUGUCGAGGUACCACUCUGGUGCAGGCCGAGAGGGGAACCCGCCACCGUUGUAGGCGGCGUUGAGCAUGGCGGCGUGCUCCCAUGAAGGACAAGGAGGUGGAUAGAAGGAUGGCGGUGGUGACGGGAGCAUAGGGUAUGCCUGCGCGUGUGAGCCAGGGCGUGGACCAAGGACGCCCGCAGCGUUCGGAGGAAUCCAGCCGGGCCGAGGAGGUGGCAGCGCCAUGCCGUACGAGGCGAAAUAGCCAGUUAACGGAGUGGCAGGUGGAGUGGGGUGGCGUCCGGAGUUGUCGCCGCGGCCGCGGCCACGGCCACGGCCGCCACAGUCACCACGUCCGCGCCCAGAGGGCGAAGGAGAUGGAUGAGGAGUGCCGCGGUCGCCGUGGGAAGCGUCAGAGGGCCGGUCGGAGGAGGUGCGUCCACCCGGAGUGGAGUUGGCGCCGGAGGGUGAUCCACCCGUCAGAGCGAAGGCCGAGGCGCUCUCGUCGGCCACACGCUGCGCUUGGGACUCCUCGGCGAGGGUGACACGGGAGAGAACCGUGUUGAAGGGGAGAUCCUGAUCGCCGAGAACGACGCGGAUGGUGUCGAGACGCUUGUCCAACCCGUGAAGGAAUUGGGUGGUGAGGUCCACCUCGGUGACGGCGUGAUCAAUAUCAGCGAGGCCGUCGGUGAGAAGCUUCAUGCGUCGCGCGUAUUCAGAGACGGAGAGAUCGCCCUGCUUGAGAUUGCGGUACUGGCGAUUGAGAGACAUGUAGCGGGCGACACGAUUUGCAAGGAAGAAGUCCUUGAUCUUGUGCCAGAGGGCGAAGGUGGUGGUGGCGCCGACGACAUGGUCACACAUCGUGUCGGAGAGGGUGGCAUAGAUCCAGAGCACGACAUGCGCAUCCAGCUCAAGGUAGGCAGGCGGGGCAUUGGGGGGAGGUGGUUGCUUGGUGAGAUAAGAGACGUCUUAGCGGAGGAGGACCAUGAGGAAGAAGGUCUUCCAUUUGUGGUAGUUAUGAUCGGCCGGAUUGAGAAGGAGUUUGAUGUGGUUGGUGAUGUGGUCGCCGAAGAUGGGAUGGCGUGGUGCGGCGGCAGGGGCAACAGGGGAUAUGGUGGCACCGGAGGAGAAGAGAGGGGCGAAUUGGGAGCCGGAGGCGGUGCCGAAGAUGAACGGGGGAGGUGUGGCAGCGGAGGAGGAGGACGGCAUGGCCGUGGGAGGUGCCGCGGCGAAGGAGGAGGAGCCCGGCGAGGUGGCGGAGCUCGUGGCGGCGGAGGACACCGGCGACGCAGAGGUGUCGGGGGAGGCCAUGAGGACGUGGAGAAUUGAUACCAAGUUGGAAUAUGUAUUGUGAUUCCUUGAACAAUGAUGUUACAAAGUGUACAAUAUAUAGACUUGGCUACCCCUAUUUGCGUGGCACGUAGGCCAUUUCCCCUAGUGAUCCUAUGAUAUAGGAGUGGUUAUAACAACCUUGACUAAGUGUUACAUGUACUGGCUAAUAGAAUGGCUACAGUAUACGUAAAUCACUCAACAGCAAACAGUUAUUUCUCGGAAUAAAUUGAGCUGGGGAUGAUCACGGCAGUUAUAGGGACCUCCGGGAUGCUGAACCCAGCAUUGAUCAGGCUCAGCUUGGCGAUGCUGAACCCAGCUGUCACCUAUAUCACGCUGAGGCCCGGCGGGAUGAUCAGGUAAGGCCAUUGGGCCCGUGAAUAUUCGCUGCCAGUCAUGCUGAUCUUGGCGAUGCUGAACCCAGCUCUCACCUGCAUCUGCUUGGAGAAGCUGUUGCUGGAGCUGGACCUCUCGCCGAAGUGUGGCAUCGCCGGCAUCGGCUUCCCUUCUACCAAUUUAAGUGAUCUAAUCGCCAAUGAUGUCUUCAUAUAUGAAUAGAGUGCACAUAAAUUUCAUGCAAGACAGGCAAUAAUCUUUACAGCUGAUCCAGGGAGUACGCGAGGAAGAGAGCUGGGAGGAGCAGAGGAGGGAGUACCCGAGGUGAGAGACACGGACGGCAGCGGCGACGGAUUUCAAUUUUUACAACAACAAAUUAAUUCAGGUGUUGUGUAGUGCGGGUUGAAAUGAGGAAACGGCAAGAGGGAAAGUGCAAAAAUGCAUUGGUUGACCGUCCCGCCAUGCUGGCUCCAUGUGGCGUCAUCUGAUUGGUCAAGGACUAAAUUUGCACCUCCUAUGCAAGUUCUAGGACUAGUUAGUCCUUUUUUGCAAGUUUUAGGACUAAACCAUCACAUACCGUGCAAGUUCUAGGACCUGCGGUGCUAUUAACUCUUACUUUUAUACAGCCUGCUUCAGUCGGGUACUGUUUGCCCAUUUUGAACCUGCCUUGACAAGAGUUCAUGUGUUGGUAUUGUAUACGGAGUACAAAGUUACAAACCCAAAGGGAUAAGAUUUCUGUCAAGUGCCGACGGCGAUCACGUCAAUCUUGGAACCGUUUCACACGCGCAUCGUCACUUUGUCCUUCGCCAACCUUCGCCUAUUCCGUAGUUCCUGCUUUGAGUUGCAAAUCUGAGCAACGGAACCGGUAUCAAAUACCCAUGCACUACAACGAGAUUUGGUAAGGUACACAUCAAUAACAUGUAUAUCAAACAUACCUUGUUUGGCGUUGGCCGCCUUCUUAUCGGCCAGAUACUUGGGACAGUUUCGCUUCCAGUGACCAAUCCCCUUGCAAUGAUAACACUCAGUUUCCGGCUUUGGUCCAGCUUUGGGUUUCUUCUUUGAAGGGGCAACAGCUUUGCCACUCUUCUUGGAGUUACCCUUUUUGCCCUGCCGUUUUUUUUGAAAUUGGUGGUCUUAUUGACCAUCAACACUUGAUGUUCUUUAUGAAUUUCUCACAUGAACCUCNNNNNNNNNNNNNNNNNNNNNNNNNNNNNNNNNNNNNNNNNNNNNNNNNNNNNNNNNNNNNNNNNNNNNNNNNNNNNNNNNNNNNNNNNNNNNNNNNNNNAUGGAUCAAGACUGGGAUUUGUCACUCCGUGUGACGGAGAGGUAUCUCGGGGCCCACUCGAUAAUACAACAUCACACACAAGCCUUGCAAGCAAUGUAACUUAGUGUAAGUUGCGGGAUCUUGUAUUACGGAACGAGUAAAGAGACUUGCCGGUAAACGAGAUUGAAAUAGGUAUGCGGAUACUGACGAUCGAAUCUCGGGCAAGUAACAUACCGAAGGACAAAGGGAAUGAUAUACGGGAUCAUACGAAUCCUUGGCACUGAGGUUCAAACGAUAAGAUCUUCGUAGAAUAUGUAGGAUCCAAUAUGGGCAUCCAGGUCCCGCUAUUGGAUAUUGACCGAGGAGUUUCUCGGGUCAUGUCUGCAUAGUUCUCGAACCCGCAGGGUCUGCACACUUAAGGUUCGACGUUGUUUUAUGCGUAUUUGAGUUAUAUGGUUGGUUACCGAAUGUUGUUCGGAGUCCCGGAUGAGAUCACGGACGUCACGAGGGUUUCCGGAAUGAUCUGAAAACGAAGAUUGAUAUAUAGGAUGACCUCAUUUGAUUACCGGAAGGUUUUCGGAGUUACCGGGAAUGUACCGGGAAUGACGAAUGGGUUCCGGGAGUUCACCGNNNNNNNNNNNNNNNNNNNNNNNNNNNNNNNNNNNNNNNNNNNNNNNNNNNNNNNNNNNNNNNNNNNNNNNNNNNNNNNNNNNNNNNNNNNNNNNNNNNNNNNNNNNNNNNNNNNNNNNNNNNNNNNNNNNNNNNNNNNNNNNNNNNNNNNNNNNNNAGCCCUUAGUGGGCUGGUGGGACAGCCCCAAGGGGGCCUAUGCUCCAAGAGAAGAAAAUCAAAGGAAAAGAAAAAAAAAAGAGGGAAGAAGUGGGAAGGGAGGGGGACACCUCCCACCAAACCAAGUCCAACUCGGUUUGGGGGGGGAGUCCUCCCCCCCUUGGCUCGGCCGACCCCUUGGGAGUCCCUUGGACCCCAAGGCAAGGUCCCCCUCCCUCCUCCUAUAUAUAUGGGGCUUUUAGGGCAGAUUUGAGACGACUUUCUCACGGCUGCCCGACCACAUACCUCCAUAGUUUUUCCUCUAGAUCGCGUUUCUGCGUAGCUCGGGCGGAGCCCUGCUGAGACGAGAUCAUCACCAACCUCCGGAGCGCCGUCACGCUGCCGGAGAACUCUUCUACCUCUCCGUCUCUCUUGCUGGAUCAAGAAGGCCGAGAUCAUCGUCGAGCUGUACGUGUGCUGAACGCGGAGGUGCCGUCCGUUCGGUACUAGAUCGUGGGACUGAUCGCGGGAUUGUUCGCGGGGCGGAUCGAGGGACGUGAGGACGUUCCACUACAUCAACCGCGUUCUCUAACGCUUCUGAUAUACGAUCUACAAGGGUACGUAGAUCACUCAUCCCCUCUCGUAGAUGGACAUCACCAUGAUAGGUCUUCGUGCGCGUAGGAAAAUUUUUGUUUCCCAUGCGACGUUCUCCAACAGUGGCAUCAUGAGCUAGGUUCAUGCGUAGAUGUCUUCUCGAGUAGAACACAAAAGUUUUUGUGGGCGGUGAUGUGCGUUUUGCCGCCCUCCUUAGUCUUUUCUUGAUUCCGCGGUAUUGUUGGAUUGAAGCGGCUUGGACCGACAUUACUCGUACGCUUACGAGAGACUGGUUUCAUCGUUACGAGUAACCCCCUUUGCUCAAAGAUGACUGGCAAGUGACGGUUUCUCCAACUUUAGUUGAAUCGGAUUUGACCGAGGAGGUCCUUGGAUGAGGUUAAAUAGCAACUCAUAUAUCUCCGUGUGGUGUUUGCGUAAGUAAGAUGCGAUCCUACUAGAUACCCUUGGUCACCACGUAAAACAUGCAACAACAAAAUUAGAGGACGUCUAACUUGUUUUUGCAGGGUAUGAUUGUGAUGUGAUAUGGCCAACGAUGUGAUGUGAUAUAUUGGAUGUAUGAGAUGAUCAUGUUGUAAUAGAAAUAUCGACUUGCACGUCGAUGGUACGGCAACCGGCAGGAGCCAUAGGGUUGUCUUUAUACUAACAUAUAUGCUUGCAGAUGCGUUUACUAUUUUGCUAGGAUGUAGCUUUAGUAGUAAUAGCAUAAGUAGCACGACAACCACGAUGGCAACACGUUGAUGGAUGAUCAUGGUGUGGCGCCGGUGACAAGAAGAUCGUGCCGGUGCUUUGGUGAUGGAGAUCAAGAAGCACGUGAUGAUGGCCAUAUCAUGUCACUUAUGAAUUGCAUGUGAUGUUAAUCCUUUUAUGCACCUUAUUUUGCUUAGAACGACGGUAGCAUUAUGAGGUGAUCUCUCACUAAAAUUUCAAGACGAAAUUGUGNNNNNNNNNNNNNNNNNNNNNNNNNNNNNNNNNNNNNNNNNNNNNNNNNNNNNNNNNNNNNNNNNNNNNNNNNNNNNNNNNNNNNNNNNNNNNNNNNNNNUUUUCUCACCUUCACUGACGAUUUAAGUAGAUAUGGUUAUGUCUACUUGAUGAAGCACAAGUCUGAAACAUUUGAAAAGUUCAAGCAAUUUCAGAGUGAAGUGGAAAAUCAUCGUAACAAGAAGAUCAAGUUCCUACGGUCUGAUCGUGGGGGUGAGUAUCUGAGUUUCGAGUUUGGUACUCACUUAAGACAAUGUGGAAUUGUUUCGCAGUUAACACCGCCUGGAACACCACAGCGUAAUGGUGUGUCCGAACGUCGUAAUCGUACUUUGUUAGAGAUGGUGCGAUCUAUGAUGUCUCUUAGUGAUUUGCCGUUAUCAUUUUGGGGUUAUGCAUUGGAAACAGCUGCAUUCACUUUAAAUAGGGCACCAUCGAAAUCCGUCGAGACGACACCAUACGAACUGUGGUAUGGCAAAAGACCAAAGUUGUCGUUUCUUAAAGUUUGGGGAUGUGAUGCUUAUGUCAAAAAGCUUCAGCCUGAAAAGCUGGAACCCAAAGCGGAAAAAUGCGUCUUCAUAGGUUACCCAAAAGAGACAGUUGGGUACACCUUCUAUCUCAAAUCCGAGGGCAAAGUGUUUGUUGCUAAGAACGGAACUUUUCNNNNNNNNNNNNNNNNNNNNNNNNNNNNNNNNNNNNNNNNNNNNNNNNNNNNNNNNNNNNNNNNNNNNNNNNNNNNNNNNNNNNNNNNNNNNNNNNNNNNAUAAAACUAAUCACACGACGGAAACGGAAAUAAAAGGGGGAAUCUUCUAGGCGUCAGUCUCGGGCUGUCACAGCUCUCCUACACUACAAGAGGAUCUCGCCCCGAGAUCCAAGUAUGAAAGGGGAAGAGGAUGAGAAAGAACAAGAGGUAAGAACUUAGUCGCUUCUUUGACAAACGAGUGAAACCAACGAUCCUUGAAGGUAGCAAAGAGAUGAGGAAUGAUAUGAGAAAGAAGCGAGAAUUCACGGAAAAUUUCGGCAACACUUUGGUAGGAAAAUGGGACAAAAAACUCGAUAAGAAGAGAGAAUUAGACAAUAUUCAUAACAAACAAGUAAAUAGAACAAGGGAACACCAUGAUCUUGAUAGAACAACAUAAUAGACCCAAAAGAACAACAUCACAAUGCCUUCGGAACAAGAGAAUAUGACAUAGCUCAUACGGAAGCAGAGAAUGAAGAAUAGAAUGACAACUAUCAUCACAAUUGAAUUGAAGAGCCUCCGGACAGAGAAUUGACGUAGUAGUUGGAAAACCAACAACGAAAAGAACAAGGUAGUAGUGGGUUUAUGAAAAUCAUCUCAACAAAUAUGAGGUGACAACCAACCACUACAAGAACCAAGGAUAGAUGAAAGCAAAGAUAUCAAAACUUCUUACACCAAGAGGGUGCACUGAGAACUGGGAUUAAUAACAAGCACCAUGAUAGCACAAUCCAUAGGAAAAGCUUUAGGUGAAGCCUAAACCAAGAUAGCUCAAUGAAGAAACCAUGAGUUAAGAAUAAUCUCAUGAUCAAAGGAUUGAUGGAUUUAACUAUCUCAUUCUUGAAAGGAAAUCUCUUCGAGGCUCCUACACUAACAAGAAUGCUACAAUACCACCUCAAAGGAUAAAGGAGAACAAACGCAUUGGAAAUGCAAGAGAAAGAAAACAUGAGGUUCUCCAAUAAGAAUCUUGAAGAACACUUGAGAAUGGAUUGAAACCUUGAUGAACCACCAUGAAGGACCUCCGUAUACAAAUGAAUGAUGCAAAGAUAUGAAGGAAGAAAGAAUAAGAUUAUGACCUUGCCAAGAUUUAGAUGAAGCUUCACAAAGAGAUUCUUGAGAAAACUUGGAACUCCGGAAAAGAAAAGAUAAUAACAUUUGAGAAAAAGGAAUUGAUAUCAUGAGGCACUCCGAAAGAAGAAUUCAGAUUACUAUGAACAAGAAUAAGAAUUAUGUUAUGCUUAUACUUCAUCAAGUUUAAUUGAUGACAAGAAACGGAUUUAGCAUAGCACUUAUCCUUGUAGAAAGAACUUUAAGAAAGAGGGAGAUAUGCACCACAUGAAGCAUAAUGAAGGAAGCACCGGUGAGAAUCGGAUUGAAUGGGGAUACCAAGAAUUAAUGGAGAUACAUGAGAAUGAAGAGAUCAUGAUCCACCUGAAAGAGAACUUGAACAAGGCACCGGAUAAUUGAGAGAUGAAUGAAGAGACAACAAUUGAGAAGAAUUGAGGAUGAAAGCUGAAAGCUGAGAACAAAGAAUCUUCUGAAAUGAUGGCCUUCGGAGGAACGAGAAAUAAAAACAACUCAAAAACGCAUCGGAUAGCAAGAAAGAGAUUAAUCAUGAUUGGAACAAAUAAGAUGAUGGCACAAAGCUGAAAUGAUGAAUCUUAAAAAAAAAGGACCAAGAUUUGAGAGAAACACUUCUUCGAAUUGCAAGCUGAGAAUGAUGACGAGAACAACACCAAGAAUUACCGAGACACUCCGGAAUAGAGAAAAAUGAAAGUUUGAGCCAAAUAUGAGAAUUAAUUCGAAUAUAACUUGAAGAAUUAAAUAUGACUGAUGGAAAUCAUACUUACGUCAUAGUUGAAAGAAUUAGAGAUCUUUGGGAAAGAUUACAAAAGCCAGAUAAGAUCCUGGGAAAGAACCUGUGGGUUAUGGGCCCACUCAAAGAAACCACCGUUGGAAAAGAUUACUUGGAAGAGAGAUAUUGCACCGGUAUGACGAGAACUAGAUGAGGUUGAGAACCUCGAAAUAAUUAAAAGAAUUGAAAACAAGAACUUCUAAGAUAUCUUAAAUGCUGCGGAUAGAAAAGAGAGGAAUGAAUAACCAAGAUAGGCUGAAAAGAAUCUCCAACAUGAAAAAGAAUUACAAGGAUAAUUGGGAUAUGAUGAACACGGAUAGCUGAAUUAAAUUCACCGGUAAGGAUGAUAAGAAUGAACAAAUAUGACACGAAUCUCCUGAGAAUCUUCACAAUGAAUCACCGGGUAAGAGAGAAAAGAACAGACAUCGGAAGCACAAUGAAAAGAAAACUCUUGGAUGAAAAUUGAACCACUGAGAAAAGGGUGGGAGGGCGGGGAAAAACAAAUACAACUUGAGACAGAUGAGAUAACUCCGGAAAGAACUGAGAGAAUGAUGUGCAAAAUUAGAGAGGAUUGAAUUCACUAAAAAGAAGCACACCGCUUAAAAAGGAAUUAACAUGACGACUUCGGUUAACAAGAAUUGACAAGACAACUGAUUGAGCAAAAGGAUUAGCAUUCACAUAAAAAUAUGAGAACCCCUCUUGGAAAGGUCUGAAAUCACCACUUGAAAUCGAAGUAACACAAAUUUGUUGGAAGAUCGUCCUAUAAGUAACUACUUGAAUUCCCACCUAAGAAUUCCCGAAUAUCUAGUCAUGCAAUCUGGUACACGGAUACAAGGAGUAAUAAUCACACAACUCCUAUACUAACCCGUCACCUGUAUCACAUCCGUCAACACACAACCAGAACCUCGGACCUUCAUCUACAACAGACCCUCAUGAUCACAACGAUACAAAGUAUGGCAGUACUCCCGAACAAUCUGCACCAGUACUGGGGACAUCAGGGUUAUCUCGCCACUACUAGUAUUGAAGCAAUUACAAACAUCCUUCGUUCUGAGAUACUAAGAAAUCUGAAUGAUAACGAUGUGCUCAAGAAUCCCCUGGAGCUCAACUCCCCUGAAACUCAAAGCAGAUAGGAGGCACCAAGACAAAACUCCGUCACAUCAGCAUCAUAUAGAUCUCAAAAAUAUCCGCGUGAUCCUAAAUAUUUUUAUGAGUGAGAAGAGGAGUAGAAUAAUUAUUACGUCAAGAUUCCUCACCAGAGCAUAGAAGAGGAGAAAAAAGAAUCCUACUCUCCGAUAUAUAACUAGACUCAAAGUUUUUUUUACUAGACUCGACUCGGCGAAGUUCGAUCAAUCAAGGGGGCUCCUAGGUNNNNNNNNNNCAGUUUUUCACUAGACUCGACUCGGCGAAGUUCGAUCAAUCAAGGGGGCUCCUAGGUCGGUACUGCUCUGAUACCAACUUGUCACGCCCAAGAUGCGACCCUAUCCUCAAUUUGGCACGAAGGCCUCGUCAGGGAUAGAAGCGCAUCUCGUCGUGUCGCAAGAAUAGAUAUCGUUACAAGUACAUGUACUGAAAAGAAGAUAUAUAUAAUAGAAUUGGCUUACACUCGCCACAAGCUACAUCAGAGUCACAUCAGUACAUUACAUAAUCAUCAAGAGUAAAAGCAGGGUCCGACUACGGACGAAAACAAACGAGAAAAGAAGAACGACAUCCAUCCUUGUUAUCCCAGGCUGCCGGCCUGGAACCCAUCCUAGAUCGAUGAUGAAGAAGAAGAAGAAGCAACUCCAAAUGAACAAUCAACGCGCUCGCGUCAAGUAACCUUUACAUGUACCUGCAACUGGUGUUGUAGUAAUCUGUGAGCCACAGGGGACUCAGCAAUCUCAUUUCCAAAGGUAUCAAGACUAGCAAAGCUUAUGGGUGAGGUAUGGUUAAGUGGUGAGGUUGCAGCAGCGGCUAGCAUAUAUUUGGUGGCUAAACUUACGAGUACAAGAAAUAAGAGGAGGAAGAUCUACGCAUAGCGGACGGAAGCUACGGAUGAUCAAACGAAUGAUCCUGAACACCUACCUACGUCAGACAUAACCNNNNNNNNNNCGGGUGAGGUAUGGUGAAGUGGUGAGGUUGCAGCAACGGCCAGCAUAUAUUUGGUGGCUAAACUUACGAGUACAAGAAAUAAGAGGGGGAAGAUCUACCCAUAGCGGACGGAAGCUACAGAUGAUCAAACGAAUGAUCCUGAACACCUACCUACGUCAGACAUAACCCCACCGUGUCCUCGAUCGGAGAAGGAACUCGCGAAAGAGACAGUCACGGUAACGCACUCAGUUGGCAUAUUUUAAUUAAGUUAACUUCAAGUUAUCUAGAACCAGUGUUAAACAAAGUUUCCACGUUGCCACAUAACUGCGGGCACGACUUUCCGAAAAGAUUUAACCCUGCAGGGGUGCUCCAACUAGUCCAUCACAAAUUACCACAAGCCGCAUAGAAAUCCUCAACGACGAAGCUCGUGAUCUCGUCGGAUUCCUUAGUGGAAAACCUCAACUCUGAGAUUACCCAAAGCAUCACCGGAAUCCCGAUGCACAAGAUAUUUCAUCAAAGGUAAAACUAAUCCAGCAAGGCCGCCUGACGUGUCGACGAACCCGAUAGGAGCCGUGUAUCUCGUUCUCAGGACACGACGGAUGGGUCACACUAGGAGAACCAAACCUCGGGUUGCCCCGCGAUGGCCCCGUAGUCUGCCAAUUUGGACCAACACUCAUGAGGAGAACUGGCCUGGGGGUUGAUUAAAUUAUCCUCGGGGUCCGGAAAGUCCCUAUGCAAUUUUAUUAGGUGUUUAGGCAAAUGUAGUACCAAAGUUGGGCCUUGCCAGGCCAGUCUUAAUCUAAAACGAAUUAUCAAGGGGGUCCCCAUAACAACCCCGAUCGUGUUAGGAGCGCUCAAUUAUGGAACAUAACAUCGGUAGCCGAAACUAAGGGGGCAAAGGUGGAACAAAACACCAGGCUAGAAAGGCCGAGCCUUCCACCUUUUACCAAGUAUAUAGGUCCAUUAAAUUAAAUAGCAUUUAAAUAUGGUGAUAUAACAAGGAACCCAUGUUAUCACAUGGAAGCAUCUGCACCUUCAACUAGCAACGCUAACACAUGGUUAAGCAAGCAAUAACAUAGCCAAUCAGUGGUUUGCUAGGUUGAACAGGUUGAUGGUUUUCAUGGCAUUGUUGAGAGGCUGAUAUUUAACAUGUGGUAGGCAACGAGACAAAUCGAUAGAAGCGAUAAAACUAGCAUGGCAAUGAUAGUAAUGGUAUCUCGGGAAAUGGUCAUCUUGCCUGAGAUCCCGCUUGGAAGAAGAAUGACUCCGUGAAGCAGACGAACCAACGUAGUCGAACGGUUCCUCACUUUCCGACACGCUUGCGGAACUCUAUCGGAACGGAGCAAACCGAAAACAAACAUCAACACAGAUAUUCACCACACGAUGCACAACAUGAUGCACAACCUAAUAUGAUGCAUGAUCAGUUCAAUGAUGCAAGGGGUGGCAUGGCAAUUCACCUCACGCAAACUCUACACAUUAAGUGAAGCUCGAUAUACAACGGGUUGCAUAUCGACGAAACUCCACGAUUAAUUAUUUAAUUCACUCCCGAUUAUUUACACGACAAUAUUAAAUUGUUGUUAACAUGGCAAGGGUGAAGCGAUGAUCCUACAUGACAUCCUAGUCGGGUAACACGCGAAACAUCGAUCGGAGCUACGACGCAAGAAACAUGCAACACACGAUAUAUAUGCCAUGAAUGCGUUAUGCAUGCAAGUUACAACAUCACGGCAAGAAGAGAAGGAAACAUGUGUCGUCAUGGCGAACGAAAGGGAACCAUGGCGGCAAAACGGAAACGAUGCCACGACAACGUUCCUAUCCCGAUAACUCGACGAGCAAUCAUGCCAACGUGCUGGGAACGCGUGCGGGAACGGUAAAUAAGAUGGGGUGAUCCCGGUUACCGGGUUCCCAUGUGUCGGGCACAACAUAGAGGGACAACGUGCAACGGUCAAACAUACGGUGCAUACAUACAUUCAACUCAUACAACACAUGCAUACGGUUCUCGGCCACGUCUCGUCGGUAUACCUUCGACGCGUGCGAAUCGGAGCGGUUUGGUCCGGUGAAGGGGAACAACGGUCGUCGUGGACGUCGUGGAAGUCGUGGUACCGGUCUCGUCGACUGUAGUCGUUCGCUCGGCGUCAUGGUUCUCGGGUCUUCGGCGUCGGUAGUCGACCACGUCUCCGUCGAUGUUCGGGGUUCGUCGAGGAUGUAGUUGUCGUCGGGCCGCGGUGGCGGGGAUGGUGCACCGGUCUUCGGCGACGACGACAACGAUCACACAACUACAACAUCUACAGCAAGGCAUCUAACGACAACAACUACUAGCACUAGCAAUGCAAAUACGGCAAGCAGCGACUAUGGCACAACAAGCAACCUAGCACUAAGUAGCAGCUAGCUUGCAACCUAGCCUAGCACCUAAGAGCAAAAGCAACUAACAACAAGCAGAUUCAGCUAGCCGCAAUAGCAAGCAUCAGCCACGGCAAGCGACAGCACAUGGCAGCAGCAAGCAAAACGCAACAGGGCAGCAGGCAAGCAAGCUAGCUCGGCAGUAGGGCAGGCGGCACAAGCAGGCAACAUCACAGCAACCUGGCAAGCAACAACAACCACAACAGGUAGCAAGCAGCAGCAUCAGACACAGCAAUAGCAGGCAGGUAGCAGCGGCAAGCUAGCAGAGCAACAACAGCAGCUAGCAAACGCAGCAACAGCGACAGCAGGAACGAGCAGCUUCGGCAGCACACAUCGCAACAGCUUAGCGCAGCAGCAACAUUCACAGCAGCAGCAAAUCGGCAGGGGAACGGCGGCCAUGGCGAGCACGGGGACGGAGGAGGCCAUUGCAUGGAGGGAGCGCUGGAAGGAGGAGGCCAUGGCGGCGGCGACGGGGAGGCGCGGGGCUGGCGCGAUGCUGGGCAAGGGACGGAGCAGCUGCUGGAGGCGGCGGCGCGCGGGGCCUGCGAGCGGUGACCGGAGGCGAGGUAGGGGCGACGGCCUGGGAAGCAGGGGCGACGCUGAGGCCAUAGAGGCGGCGCAGAGGAGCUACUGGCGGCGGGGCUGGGACUCGGCACAGGGGAACGGGAGGAGGGAGAUGGCGCUGGGGACGACGGUGCUGCGGGAGGAGAGAUCGAGGGGCUGGCUCGCGACGCUAGUGCUGGGGAGGGGAGGCCUGGGCCUUGGCCUGCUGGGCCUUGGCGUGGGGUCCUCCCCCUUUGUUUUUUUAAAUCCUUUUAAAACAUAAAUCUUAAAAUAAAGAAAGGCUUUUAACAAAAGUAAAAUAUAAUAAAUGCUUUUGACCCCUUUUGAAAAAAAUAUUCCCAACUAUAAGAAAUAGUUGGGCAUUUUAAAAGAAAUGAUAUAAACCCCUUUUUUGAAGAAUUAAAAUUAAAAUCUUUUUUUGAAGAAUAAAAUAAACCUCUUUUAUUUAAAGAAUAAAAAUAAAAACUCUUUAAAAGAGAAAAGUAAAUGAGACGGUUUUAAAAUAAAACCAAAGGAGAAAAUUAAAGAAAAUCCAAGGGCUGCCCCCGCAUUUAAUAAAAUGACCUUUUUAAAAGAAGACGCUUUUUUCAAAGGGGAUAAAACGGAAACUUUAGCUAAACCACAAAAAUGAAAAGAGAGGUGAGAGGGGCGAGAAGGUUUUUUAGGUCCUCGGUGCAACUAGGUUACGANNNNNNNNNNGGACCUUUUUAAAAGAAGACGCAUUUUUUUAAAGGGGAUAAAACGGAAACUUUAGCAAAACCACAAAAAUGAAAAGAGAGGGGAGAGGGGCGAGAAGGUUUUUUAGGUCCUCGGUGCAACAGGGUUACGAGCUUGAACUUGUUGCACCCAAUCAUGUUGCAAGGCCCUAAGGCACAUACACACAUGCGCUCACACUCAAACAACGAGGUGCAACUAGCCACACCAGACAAGCACAGAUGACAUGAUGCCAUGCAUGAUGCGGCGAUGCAAACUACAUGACGAUGCAACAAAUAAAACUAAUCACACGACGGAAACGGAAAUAAAAGGGGGAAUCUUCUGGGCGUCGGUCUCGGGCUGUCACACCUCUCUGGUCAGAUCAGAAGCUGUAGCAGAGUGGUAGCUGCCUUGUGCGUGUGUGUGCUCGAGCAGCAGGUCUGGGGUUCGACCCCCAGUACCUCCCUUUUAUUUUUUCCCUUGUCCUCUGCAUUUCUUUUUUCCUUUGCUGUUCACCACCUUGCAACCUUGUUCUUUGUAGCUAGGUACUUAUUUUUCUUGUGCACUUAGAUGUUUGUGCUUCCUCCUCUCUUAAUCUGCAAGUAUGUUCAUUUGUUGGUGGCUUGUGAAUAAGAGGUGAUGCACUUGUGUGUGUGAAUAUGCACUUAGUAGAGUUGUAGAUGCAUGUGCUUAUAGUCUUGUGCUUAUCACUUUAGUUGAGAUUGGCAUUUUAUCUCCUUGCUUGUGCUGUAUAGUAGUGGGAGGUGAUGUGGUGUAUGUUUGGGUGCUUGUGAGAGGUGCAUGUGUGUGUGUGUGCAUACACAUGAGGUUAGUCAUACAUUGGUGUGUGUGUAUGGUGAUGCUUCCUAGUAGAUGAUCUUAUGUUGGUGGCUUGUGUUUAUGCUUGUGUGACUAGUAAGAGGUGGCAGUAGGUGAUGUGCAUAUGUGUGUGUGUNNNNNNNNNNNNNNNNNNNNNNNNNNNNNNNNNNNNNNNNNNNNNNNNNNNNNNNNNNNNNNNNNNNNNNNNNNNNNNNNNNNNNNNNNNNNNNNNNNNNNNNNNNNNNNNNNNNNNNNNNNNNNNNNNNNNNNNNNNNNNNNNNNNNNNNNNNNNNNNNNNNNNNNNNNNNNNNNNNNAUUCUUUGUGUUGCUAGCAUGUGUAGGUGGUGUGAGUUUCUACUAUAUGACAUGCAUAUGAGUUGAUGAUAUGCAUGUGGUGAAAAUAGCCCCACUUUGCAACACUUGUGCACCUUCACAUGUCCAUAUGUGAGAGGGCAUGGUGAUUUGUAUGUAUGGGUAGCUUGGUAGAAGUGGUUGUGAAGUUGAUGUGCAUGAAACAAACAUGGGGUUCAAACCCCCAUGUCACUUUGUCAUUGUGCACAUGAGCUCAACCAUGUAGUAGUUGAUAUAGUGAAACUACAUGAAAUGAUGCACUAUUCCCUAGUCAUGAUUUGGAGUAGUUUCCUCUUCCUUAAUUUGUGGUCACUUGUUCCAAGUAAGUGCCCACAUUUUAUAUAUGAUUUUGUGGUAGAAUUUCCCAAGGAAUCCAUUGGUGAACUUAGCUUUGCCAUUGGAACAUUUUUCUGGAAAGUCAUAUUUGCAUUUUCUUCUAAGUUUAGAGCUUGGUUCCAUGCAUGGUGAUGUGCUCUUGUAUUUGAUUCUUGGUUGUGGUAGUAGAGGGUGACCCCCUCUACCACAUGUGGGUUUCAAUUCAUGAUUUGGAAUCCAUGUGUGCAAGUGGUGCCCAUCCAAAGUGGGAAUGUGGCUGGAAAUUCCAGCUUAGUGUUUGAGAAUCUGGAAAUAUUUUCUUCUCCUGUAGAUGAGGUCGUGCUGGUCAUUGUGUUGUGAUCUAGCCUUAGUUCAGUGCUAGGAAUUUGGACCUGAUAUGUUUUUAAAGCUCCCUGUCAAAUUUCAUCCCAUUUGGAAUCCUGUAGGUUAUGUUUUGGUUGCUGUCAAAAAGCUUCAGAGCAAAGACAGAAAAUCAGGUGCAGGAAUUUCACCAAGUCCCUGAGAUCUGAUGGUUUUGGGAAAGUUUGCAUCCUUGUAUCUUCCUGUGUUUAAUUCCUUUUGGUGUGAUUCUUGCUUGUGCUGGUAGUAUUCUUGGCUAGCUACAGCCACAUAUAUUAUUUUUCAUAUUUGGAGGGCUGUAGCUAUGUUGCAUGUAGUUCACAAAGUGCUAAGAUGCAGAUUAUGGCAGAUUAUGUAGUUUUGUCAUUUUGAUGAUUGUGGGUGCUUAGUUGAUGUUGUGGUGUUCUUCCUUGAUCCAAUCCAUUCAUGUUGGGUUGUUAUAUGUCUUGGCAACCUGGGAAUACCAGAUUUGUGCCAUUUGAGCAUGUGGUAUUGAUUUGGACACGUAGGGCUUCAUAUCUUGUUUCGUUGAUUCCCGUUGAUCCGUAGCUCCGAUUGUAAUGUUCCUUAUAUGGUUUUGCAUCAUUUUCACGAUACGCAUCUGAUCAUGUCAUUCUCAUGCAUGUCAAAAUAUCUUGGGGUACAGUUCUGUCCAGAAACUUGUAGUAGCUUCUCUUGCUUGUGCUAGUGAUAGAAAUAGUGAUGCAUGCUCAUUUUUCAUAUCAUGCAUCAUGUGCUUGUUGCAUCUUGAGGUGCUGUUGUUCAUUGGAUGUUAUUCUUAUGUUGGGUAGCACUGGGAUCGGAGAACGAGUACGUGGAUUCGGGAGAGUACGUGCAGGACGAACAAGAACCAUUCCAAGCUGAGGAUAUCACAGGCAAGAUGAUAUGACCUUGAUUCCAUCUCUAGACUUGUUAUGCUAGUUUGUGUUUCCAUGUCAUAUUGCUCGCUGCCUAGCACUGAAAAUUGCCCCUUGAGAUGCCAUGAACCCAUACCCUGAUCCCUUCCUAGCAAAACUUGAAUGGCUAAGUAGGCUUUGCUCAGCUACUAAUGUUAGCAUUGCUAGAUGCAGGUGCUUUGACUCAUAUGAUAACAUGAGCUUGAUAUCAUUAUCUUAAAUUCUGUUAUUUAUUAAUGCACCUAUAUACUUGGUAAAUGACGGAAGACUUAGCCUUUUGCCGGGUGCUUUGUUCCGUUAUUGCCGCCAUAAUUACCGGCUACCGGUGUUUGAUUCCAUAUUGAUCGCUCCUAACACGUUCGGGGUUGUUAUGGGAACCCCCUCGAUAAAUCGUGUAGCGCUAAGGCUUGUCCAGCAGGACCCAACAUUGGUGUUAAUUUGCUAAUCACUUAAUAAUAAACUGCAUAGGGAAUAGCUACCCCGAGGAUUUUAAUCAACAACCCGGGCCAGUGCUCCUCAUCAAUGUUGGUCCAAACUGGGCACUGCUCGGGGCCAACUCAGGGCAACUUGAGUGAUUUCUAUCAGGCCAUCGUGCGCAUAGCUCAUCCAGCGUGUCCUGAGACUGAGAUACGCGGCUCUUAUCAGGGUCGUCGACACGUCGGGAGGUCCUGCUAGUCUUGCCUUACCUUAGCGAUAUAUCUUGCGUAUAGGAAUCCCAGUGAAGCUUUGGUUUCCCCCAAAGUUGAGGUUUUCCUCUAAGGAAUCCGACGAGAUCACGAGAUUCGUGAUAGAGGAUUACUUUGCGGCCUGUGUACGUUUGUGAUGGACUAGUUGGAGCACCCCUGCAGGGUUUAAUCUUUCAGAAAGCCGUGCCCGCGGUUAUGUGGCAACUUGGAAUAUCUUGUUAAUAUCCAGUAUUAGAUAACUCAAACAUAAGCUAAUAAAAUUGUCAACUGUGUGCGUAACCGUGACUGUCCCCUCGAAGAUCUCUCUUCGAUCGGGAACACGGUGGGGUUAUGAAUGCCGUAGGUAGGUGUUCAGGAUCACUUAGUGAUCAAGUAAUCACGACCGCUAGUAUAGACCACCUUCAUACUUGUUCUACGUAUGUUAGCCCCUAAAUCAAGCUUAGGAUGCUGCAACCUUAAACACUUCACCUUAUCCCACCUAAUAACUUGACUAGUUCUGGCACCAAGGUCUUAGAUUGCUGAGUCCCGGUGGCUCACGGAUUCCUCCAAAAUCCCAACAUGUUUAGGUACCCCAGAGACAGAUGAUCCCGACGGCACUCAGCUGGCGUGGCAGUACGACGAGGAGAUAGACCGCCUUUACGUGAACUAUCCAGAAGAUUGAGGCGUGGUCGUGAUCGUGGGCCUGCAGGCAGGGUAGCAUAGCAUUUCUAUGUUUUGUAGCCGUAGCGGAACUUCCUUGGUUGUAUGUGUGAUGUACUCUGAGAUAUUUAUGAGAAGGCAAUUGAAUCACUGAUUGUCUAUCUUUAUUAUUAUGUAUGUGUUGUGUUACCUCUUUGCGAGACGCUUAUAUGCGCUCCUUUCCAAUUCGGGGCCUCGAUCCCCAUAUCGGAAAGGACCGCAUCUUGGUCGUUACAAAGAUCCACCCGUUGCUCCUUCACCGUAUAUCAGUCCUCCGGUAUGCUUUCAGUCAUCAAGAAUGAAUACAUUGUAGAUAUUAUUGUUAGCUUGAUAUUUAUAGUUCUACUUUUUGUUGUAGUCUCCUCCUCCUCUGUGCAUGUACUAUCGUUGGAUCGACAUGGAACGGCCGGACUGGCGGUGACCGAGAUUCGUGAAAGAGGUCAUCGUGCAUGGGCUAUUUUGGACUUGGAAGAGCGUCGUGCGAAGGCGGAAGCAGAGAAGAAAGUAGAGGAGAAGAGAGAGUGGGAAGAGUACUGUGUGGAGCAGAGGGCUUUUCUUGAUGAGAUGAUCAGGAAAAACCAAGAAGAGAAACUUCGGCUGGAGGAGGUUUACAGACACCGGCAGGAAGCCCGUGAUGCUGAGAGGGAGAGAAAGAAAGAAAGGGCUCGUGUGGCCAAGGCAGCAGAAGAAGCUGGUGAUGGAAAAGAAAAAUAUCCACGUUGGACUCAGUAGAUUUGUUUUAUUGUAUCCUAAAAUUGUUGAAUCUUAAUUUCAGCAAGUUGUAUCUUAAUUUCAGCAAGUUGUAUCAGCACGUUGUAUCUUAAUUUCAGCAAGUUGUAUUUUAAUUCCGGCAAGGUGUAUCUUACUUUGAACAUGUUAAGUUUUCCGACCAUAUCUUUCCUGCCAUUUCUUUCCCGCCAUUUCUUUCCCAUCGUAUCUUUCCCGCCUUUUCUUUCCCGCCAUUUAUCUCCCGCCAAUUCUUUCCUGCCUCGCUCUCAGCCACCUAUAAAACUCCCUCCACACUAAGGUGAGAUAACAAUGUAGUCCAGUAGCUAUCAUUCGUCAAGAUGUCCCAUUAGUUUAAUUCAGUUGGAAAGGGUGGCCUCCAAGGACAUUUGAGGAGAUAUGGAAAGAACUAAUUUACCACUGAAAUAGAACAUGAAUAUGUCUCAUACAUGAAUAUGUCUCAUACAAAUAGACAUAUGUUUCAUACAUAAUUAGAUAGUCAUAUCUUAUACAUAGAUAAUUAUAUCACUCCUGGCGACGACGACGAAUCUUGGGCUUCCUCGGACGCGGACCGGUAGGCGAUAAGCACUCAGGCGGUGGACGAGGCUCGCGAUGACCAUGACCAUAUACCACCUCGUCCAUCAGUGUCAGUGUCUCCUGCGUCGAUGGUGGUGGUGGAGUGACAAGAACUGUCUCCAAGAAAUCAUAUGUGUUUGCACCUCGGUCAUUGUCGUCGUCGUCGUCGGGUAAGUACAAACCAGUAAACACAGGUGACUGGACUGAAGCCAUGAACGGUUGCAAUUGGUUGCCGACUGCGGUAAAGUAAAACAUGCAAAAUUGAUUUACGAGCCUACAAUUUUUCAAAUAAUGUGCAAAGUAAUGUUACCUAUGUCCAUCCGAUUAAGCCAAGAUGAGCCCCCGGGUUGUGAACGAGGUGGCUGCUGGAAGAAAUAACUCCCUGGUUGUGAAGGAGGUGUCUACUGCCAGGGUUGUGAAGGAGGUGUGUGCUGCCAGGAGGAGCUCCCUGGGUGUGAAGUAGGUGUGUGCUGCUAGGAGGAGCUCCCUGGUUGUGAAGGAGGUGUCUGCUGCGAGGAGGAGCUCCCUGGGUGUGAAUGAGUUGUCUGCUGCCAGGAGGAGCUCCCUGGAUGUGAAGGAGGUAUCUGCUGCCAAGAGGAGCUCCCUGGGUGUGAACGAUGCACAGAGGUUCGAGGUUCUGAAUGCUGCAGAGAGGGGCGUGGCGGACGAUGGGCCGCAGAAGUGUUAACAACAUCCGAAGAUCGUCUACAUGUAACAGCGACGUAAAUCCCGCGCAGCUUAGCAAGAUGACCCUUCAACCAUGUGACUUGCUUUCGCGGUGGGAUAUUUUCUCCUCUCUCAAAGCGUUGUACUAAAGUGGAAACCUCAUCUACCGCCUCAGAUGUCAAUUCGCCCUAUGAACUAGGAGUUAACCAAUUGUGUAUGUUCAGGUUAAGGGAAAAAUUAACAUGUGAGAAACAUAGCACAUACCGCGUGGUGUCUGGUUCCCACAACUGAGGCAGUUGGGAACAGAUCGCUGGUGAGAGGGGCUUCGAUAUGAUCAGGAGCUGAUGAUGGAACCAAGUAGAUCCUCGUGCUAUGCCGGUAACGCUGUAGAUACAACCCGAACUUGUCCCAGUCAAAGGCUCGAACUUCAUCCCAAAUAUUUGUUGGCGCAGUAGUCCAUUCGUCGACGUAAGGGCUAAUGUCGCGAAGCCAAGAAGCCUGGGACUUGUUUCCUCCUACGCGACUGUACCUGAGAUUGAAAUGCACAUUACAUGAUUAGUUAUAUGUCAAAUGCAGACAUGAGAACUGAAGUAGUAUUACUUACUUAUGCACGUUAUCUGGUAAGUGUGGAAUAACAAGAAUGUGAGGCUCUUGGCAUAGAUCGAACUGUCUCAUCACCCUAUGAAGAGCCAUCUCCUCAACCGUCACGUCGAACACCAACCUGGCCUUGGUCAUCCAAUAAUGCCAAUCUAUAGUGCACAAUCUAGAAAUCCCAAGAGGACACCUUUCUGAAAUAGCAUGAUCGGAGUAUGGCUUCCAUAUAACUUGACCCUCGUGCAAACUAUCAAACUGCGCUGUGAAGGAGGGGUAGCAGCCCCUCACCUGGCUAUGCGCAAACUCUCUCUGUGCAUGACAACAAACAUUACUAAAUAUUAUUGAAUAGCGAGAAAUAAACAUUAGUAAUUCAUAUUGUUACUAGUUAUGAAAAUACCUCUCUCCGCACCUAGACAGAUCCCAUAGUAGGCAAGUCGCCGAUAGAAGACACGUAAGUCCCAAUCAUGUGCUCAUAACCAAAACGUUUUUCAACGCUCACAUAGGGUCGACCAAUAGAGAAUCUCCCAUAUGACCAGAGCUGCAACAAUAGUAGACAUCCAACAAUAGCAGAUUUUCUGGACUUCAACUGACAAGCUUUGCACAGGCCUCUAUACGUAGCCGCUAACAUAGCAGAACCAAAACUCCUGUGCACAAUGUUCUCCGGGCAACGUGCGUCAGCUAUCUCUCGUGCAAUACCAAUGAGUCGUGCAUCAACAGUGGUCACGUGGUUCUCCGUGAACAUCGUCUUGCCGAACAACCACAAAAUAUAUGCCUCUAGGGAUCGGUCAAUCUGUGUCUGUGACAACUCAACGUUGGGAUAUCCUAAGGAGACAAUCUGAAACUGGCUCAACCACCUAAAAAGAGGCCCAUGACGAUCGUUGUCUAGCAACGUAGUAGUUGGCGCCGCAGCCAGAAAACGGGCAUGCAUCGAUGCUAGCCAACCAGUUUCUGCCUCUAAAGGACCUAUGGCAGCACCGGCCAGAGGUAAUCUCAACAAGACACAUCCUGUAAAGUUGGCGCCAUCUCUCCCCUAGAAAAAUGAAAUGUAUGUGUCUCUGGUCUCCAUCUAUCUACUAAGCAGGUAAGGAGUGACCUAUCAUAAGAGAAAUGUGUAACUUGCCUCUUGUGAAACUCCAUUGGUUCACCUCCUGAUACGUCUCCAUCGUAUCUACUUUUCAAAACUCUUUUGCCCUUUUUUUGGACUAUAAUUUGCAUGAUUUGAAUGGAACUAACCUGGACUGACGCUGUUUUCAACAGAAUUGCCUUGGUGUUAUUUUUGUGCAGAAAUCAAAGUUCUCCAAACGUCCUGAAAAUUUACGGGGAGCAGUUAUGGAAAAUAUCAAAAAUAUCUGCGCCAAGUUCCACCUCAUGGGGUGGGCCAGUGGGCCACAAGCCCCUGCUCCGCCACCACCCCCUGGUGGCGGUGGGCAGGCUUGUGGGGCCCACAGACACCUACCGCCCCCAACUCCAGCUCUAUAAGUUGCCUUUCGUCCCAGAAAAAAUAGAAAGAGAAGUUUUCCUCGCGUUUUCGAUGCGGAGGCGCCGCCACCACCUGCUCUUCAUCUGGAGGGCAGAUAUGGAGUCCGUCUUGGGCUCCGGAGAGGGGAAAUCGUCGCCAUCGUCAUCAUCAACCUUCUUCCCUCUCCAAUUCCAUGAAGCUCUUCAUCGUUCGUGAGUAAUCUAUUCGUAGGCUCGCUGGGCGGUGAUGAGUAGGAUGAGAUCUAUCAUGUAAUCGAAUUAGUUUUCAUGGGGAUUGAUACCUAGUAUCCACUAUGUUCUGAGAUUUGAUGUUGCUACUACUUUGCCAUGCUUAAUGCUUGUCAUUAGGGCCUGACUGCCAUGAUUUCAGAUCUGAAAUUAUUAUGCUGUCACCAAUAUAUGUGUGUUGUAGAUCCGAUCUUGCAAGUUGUAGUUACCUACUAUGUGUUAUGAUCCGGCAACCCCGGAGUGACAAUAAUCGGAACCACUCCCGGUGUUGACCAUAGUUUGAGGAGUUCAUAUGUUCACCAAGUGCUAAUGCGUUGGUCCGGUUCUUUAUUAAAAGGAGAACCUUAAUAUCCCGUAGUUUCCUUUUGGACCCCGCUGCCACGGGAGGGAUGGACAACAGAUGUCAUGCAAGUUCUUUUCCCUAAGCACGUAUGACGACACACGGAAUGCAUGCCUGCAUCACAUUGAUGAACGAGAGCUAGCCACAUAUCUCUCCGUGUUAUAGUUGUUGCAUGAUGAAUAUCAUCCAAACAAAUCACCGACCCAUUGCCUACGAGUUUGUCCUACUACUGGUGUUACUUGUCUUGCUCUGCUGCUGCUACUACUAUUGCUACUGCUGUUACUUGUCUUGCUCUGCUGCUGCCACUACUGUUGCUACUGAUGUCACUUGUUCUGCUCUGCUGCUGCUGCUAGUACUGUUGCUACACCCGUUGCUUGCUACUGUUGCUACUUGCUACUGCUGUCACCACUGCUGUUCCUUGCCACUGCCGUUACUCGCUACUUUGUUGUUACUACUGUGCUUGCAGAUACUAAUCUGUCAGGUGUGGUUGAAUCCGACAAAUUCAGCUGCUAAUACUCAAGAGUACUCUCUCACCUCCUUCAGGCGAUCUACAAAUUUGGGUCGAAUACUCUACCCUCGAAAACUGCUGCGAACCCACGCGCUGGUGGGCCAUCAACAACAUUCUUCCAGUUUCAUUGCCGGGGAGUGCUAUCAGCAUUCUUGUGGUGCCGUUGCAGGAGAAGGAUCGUUGUCAUAAGCAUUCGUCUAGCUAACGCCAGAGAUUGCGCGAUCAACAUUUUUCUGGCGCCGUUGCCGGGGAGGUAUUGCUAUAUUCUCUGAGUCACUUGGGAUUUAUAUCUGCUGAUCACUAUGAAGAAUCUGAAGGAUCCGAAGACCAAAGUCUUGCCCUCAACUACGAAGGGAGGUAAGGAAUUGCCAUCUAGCUCUGCACUUGAUUCACCUUCAGUUAUGAGUAAGUUUGCGACAUCACCUCCUGCUAGAAAUCUUGAUAUGUCGCAUGUGCUUAGUGAUGCUUUUGAUACUACUGCUAGAGAUGCUAUGCUUGAUACUAUGCCUGAUGAUACUAUGCUUGAUACUGCUAGAGAUGAUAUGCUUGAUACUAUGCUUGAUAUUGCUAGAGAUGCUAUGCUUGAUACUGCUUUGCCUGAUGAUGCUAGAGAUGCUAUUUUGCGUGAUGAUGCUAUGGUUGAUACUGCUAGAGAUACUCCUUUGCCUGAUGUUCCACUAGGAGUGUUCCUUGAUGCUCAUAUAGCUAGAGUUACUACCAAUGCUCGUGAUGCUUCUGAUACUGCCGAUACUAUUGAGAUAGAACCUGCUUUUGCUCUUGCUAGUUCUAGGUCUCCUAGAUAUGAACUGCCUGAUAUACCUCAGGGUUACGUUAUGGAGGGAGAGAUAGUUGAGGAUUUUCUUGCGUGUAAGGAUGCCUAUGACGCUGAUAAAUUAAUUCUCAAGUGGAAGGAAAAAUCUCGUGAAGCUAGGAUGAAAAAUGACCCGAAGUUUGCCACUUCGCCUAUCUUUGUCACCGAUAAGGAUUAUGAAUUCUCUAUCGACCCUGAGAUAAUCUCUCUAGUCGAAUCUGAUCCUUUUCACGGUUAUGAGUCUGAGACAGUCAUAGCGCAUCUUGCUAAACUAUCCGAAAUAGACAACCUUUUCACUAAUGAGGAGAAGAUCCACCACUACUAUAUCCUUAAGCUGUUUCCUUUCUCUCUAAAGGAUGACGCUAAAGUCUGGUUCACCUCUCUUGCUCCUAGAUGUGUGCGUAGUCCCCAGGAGAUGGUCUAUUACUUCUGUGAGAAAUAUUUCCCUACCCAUAAGAAGCAAGCUGCCUUGCAGGAAAUAUACAACUUUGCUCAACUCCAAGAAGAGANNNNNNNNNNNNNNNNNNNNNNNNNNNNNNNNNNNNNNNNNNNNNNNNNNNNNNNNNNNNNNNNNNNNNNNNNNNNNNNNNNNNNNNNNNNNNNNNNNNNAUGAAGAAGCAAUGGUGGGCCCAGAUUCCAACAAAUGGCUAGAAGCCAUGAAAUCCGAGAUAGGAUCCAUGUAUGAGAACAAAGUGUGGACUUUGGAGAUACUACCUGAGGGUCGCAAGGCUAUUCAGAACAAAUGGAUCUUUAAGAAGAAGACGGACGCUGACGGUAAUGUGACCGUUUAUAAAGCUCGACUUGUGGCAAAGGGUUUUUAACAAGUUCCAGGAGUUGACUACGAUGAGACCUCACCCGUAGCGAUGCUUAAGUCCGUUAGAAUCAUGUUAGCAAUAGCUGCAUUUUUCGAUUAUGAAAUCUGGCAGAUGGAUGUCAAAACGGCGUUCCUUAACGGUUUCCUUAAGGAAGAGUUGUAUAUGAUGCAACCCGAAGGUUUUGUCGAUCCUAAAAAUGCUGACAAGGUAUGCAAGCUCCAGCGAUCCAUUUAUGGACUGGUGCAAGCAUCUCGGAGUUGGAACAAACGCUUUGAUGAGGUGAUCAAAGCAUUUGGGUUUAUACAAGUGGUUGGAGAAUCUUGUAUUUACAAGAAAGUGAGUGGGAGCUCUGUGGCGUUUCUAAUAUCAUAUGUGGAUGACAUAUUACUGAUUGGAAACAACGUAGAGUUUUUGGAGAGCAUAAAAGGUUACUUGAAUAAAAGUUUCUCUAUGAAGGACCUAGGAGAAGCUGCUUACAUUCUAGGCAUUAAGAUCUAUAGGGAUAGAUCAAAACGCCUGAUAGGACUUUCACAAAGCACAUACCUUGAUAAAGUUUUGAAGAGANNNNNNNNNNNNNNNNNNNNNNNNNNNNNNNNNNNNNNNNNNNNNNNNNNNNNNNNNNNNNNNNNNNNNNNNNNNNNNNNNNNNNNNNNNNNNNNNNNNNUUGAUGGUGAGCAAGACCACUAGUUUCAAGAGAAACGGCAAAGGAAAGAAGGGCAAUUCGAAGAAGAGCGGCAAGCCUGUUGCCAAUCCGCCGAAGAAGCCCAAAGCUGGACCUAAGCCUGAAACAGAGUGCUUCUAUUGCAAGGGUAUGGGUCACUGGAAGCGCAAUUGCCCCAAGUAUCUGGCAGAUAAGAAGGCGGGCAAAGAAAAAUCAGGUAUAUUUGAUAUACAUGUUAUUGAUGUGUAUUUAACCGGCUCUCGUAGUAGUGCAUGGGUAUUUGAUACCGGUUCUGUUGCUCACAUUUGCAACUCGAAGCAGGAACUGCGGAAUAGACGAAGGCUGGCGAAAGACGAAGUGACGAUGCGCGUAGGAAACGGUUCCAAGGUUGAUGCAAUCGCCGUCGGCACAGUGUCACUUCAGCUACCAUCGGGAUUAGUGAUGAACUUAAAUCAUUGUUAUUUAGUGCCUGCGUUGAGCAUGAACAUUAUAUCUGGAUCUUGUUUAUUGCGAGACGGUUACUCUUUUAAGUCUGAGAAUAAUGGUUGUUCUAUUUCUAUGAGUAACAUCUUUUAUGGUCAUGCACCGAAUGUGAGAGGAUUGUUCAUAUUGAAUCUUGAUAGCGGUACGCAUAUAGAUAACAUUGAGACCAAAAGAGUUAGAGUAAACAAUGAUAGCGCCAUAUUUUUGUGGCACUGCCGCUUGGGUCAUAUUGGUGUAAAGCGCAUGAAGAAACUCCAUGCUGAUGGACUUUUGGAGUCACUUGACUUCGAUUCACUUGACACGUGCGAACCAUGCCUUAUGGGCAAGAUGACUAAGACUCCGUUCUCCGGAACAAUGGAGCGUGCAAGUGACUUGUUGGAAAUCAUACAUACCGAUGUGUGUGGUCCAAUGAGCGUGGAGGCACGCGGCGGAUAUCGUUAUUUUCUCACCUUCACUGACGAUUUAAGUAGAUNNNNNNNNNNNNNNNNNNNNNNNNNNNNNNNNNNNNNNNNNNNNNNNNNNNNNNNNNNNNNNNNNNNNNNNNNNNNNNNNNNNNNNNNNNNNNNNNNNNNUAAUGACGUGGUCCCGUUAUCAAGUGACAACACUUGUUCAUAAUCAGAAGACACUGACUAUCAUCGAUCAACUGGCUAGCCAACUAGAGGCAUGCUAGGGACGGUGUUUUGUCUAUGUAUCCACACAUGUAAAUGAGUCUUCAUUCAAUACAAUUAUAGCAUGGAUAAUAAACUAUUAUCUUGAUACAGGAAUUAUAAUAAUAACUAUACAUUUAUUAUUGCCUCUAGGGCAUAAUUCCAACACAAACAGUACCCGACUGAAGCAGGCUGUAUAAAACUAAGGGUUAAUAGNNNNNNNNNNAUCUAGGGCAUAAUUCCAACAGUCUCCCACUUGCACUAGACUCAAUAAUCUAGCCCUCACAUCACCAUGUGAAUUACAUUGUAAUAAAUCUAACACCCAUACAGUUCUGGUGUCGAUCAUGUUUUGGCCGUGGAAGAGGUUGAGUCAGCGGGUCUGCUACAUUCAGAUCCGUGUGCACUUUGCAUAUAUUUACGUCCUCCUCCUCGACGUAGUCGCGGAUGAGGUUGAAGCGUCGUUUGAUGUGUCUGGUCUUCUUGUGAAACCUUGGUUCCUUUGCUAAGGCAAUGGCACCAGUGUUGUCACAGAACAAGGUUAUUGGAUCCAGUGCACUUGGCACCACUCCAAGAUCCGUCAUGAACUGCUUCAUCCAGACACCCUCCUUAGCCGCCUCCGAGGCAGCCAUGUACUCCGCUUCACAUGUAGAAUCUGCUACGACGCUUUGCUUGGAACUGCACCAGCUUACUGCACCCCAUUAAGAAUAAAUACNNNNNNNNNNNNNNNNNNNNNNNNNNNNNNNNNNNNNNNNNNNNNNNNNNNNNNNNNNNNNNNNNNNNNNNNNNNNNNNNNNNNNNNNNNNNNNNNNNNNAUACCUCUCGAUCCGGGUGUUCUUCUGAAAGAUAAACUUCAACUCCUGGAACAUCUCAAAUGCUCCAUGACGCUCAAAGCGACGUUGAAGUCCCGGUUCCAAGCCAUACAAGACUGCACAUUGAACUAUUGAGUAGUCCUCCUUACGUGCUAACCAAGCGUUCUUAACAUCCUGAUCAGCCGUAGCGGGUGGUUCAUCUCCUAGCGCAGCAUUCAGGACAUAAUCCUUCUUUCCAGCUUGUAAGAUUAGCUUAAGAUUACGAGCCCAGUCUACAAAGUUGCUUCCAUCAUCUUUCAACUUAGCUUUCUCUAGGAACGUAUUAAAAGUCAGGAUGACACUUGCGUGAGCCAUGAUCUACAACACAAAUAUAUUCAAAGUGGACUUAGACUAUGUUCAAGAUAAUUAGAGUUCAACUUAAUCAAAUUAUAUGCUAAACUCCCACUCAAAAAGUACAUCUCUCUAGUCAUUUGAGUGGUUCAUGAUCCACUUACACUAUCCCAAGUCCGAUCAUCACGUGAGUUGAGUAUAGUUUCAGUGGUAAGCAUCCCUNNNNNNNNNNNNNNNNNNNNNNNNNNNNNNNNNNNNNNNNNNNNNNNNNNNNNNNNNNNNNNNNNNNNNNNNNNNNNNNNNNNNNNNNNNNNNNNNNNNNCCGGCCGCCGCCCGCCCUCCGCCCGCAGCAGGCUGGACGCCUCUCCUCCACCUCCUCCCGCGCGCGCCCCCCGGCCGCCGCUCGCCCCUCCACCUCCUCCCCCCCGCGGCCUGCCCCUGGUAACCUGCGCCCGCCUGAUUAUUGUUUUCUUCAAACCGUUAUUGAGAUGAUGAAAAUUAUGAUAUGUGAAAUGACAGUUUUAAAGGCACCGUCCUGUUUUCCAACUAUUAAAAAUGUCAAAAAAAUGUCAAUUUUCAACUGUUAAACUGAUUUUAGGAUUUGAGCGCACUAGUAGCAGCGAUUCUCUUAUUCUUCUUCCCCACCCAUCCUCUUCACCCCCGCUCUCAUUCCCAUUCCCCGCACCCCUCAAUUGCAUCGGAGCAUUAUUUUUGCUAAAUGGUCCCUUCACAGGAUCUUAUGUAUGUACCAGAGCAUCUACAGCCGGCCCCUGGAUCUGGAACCCGAGUGGAUACCCAUCCCAUCCGGAUCCGGAUCUUGACCGACCCCUUCCCCCGCCGGCGACGAGCCCUAGCUAGCUCGGACCAGUCCUGGUGCGAGAGGCCACCGGCGGCAAGGCUGCGUGCGGUGGCGGAGCAUGCACUGCGAGCGCUCUACUCGGAUCUGACCGAACCCCGUCGCCGCGCCCGUCCCGCUCGCCGUGGCCGAUGAUCGCGCGCGUCGGCUGGGGCCGCGUCCCUCCCCAGAUGGCGGCGAUGAUGGAGGGAGCCGCCGGCACCAGCCCCCUCCCGCCUCGCCGGACCGCGCAUCGGCUUGGAGGCCCCUCGGGACUGCCGCCGGUGCGGGGGGGCGUCCGCGGCCUUGCGGGCUGGGGACCGAGCGGGAUCUGAGCCGCCGUCGAUGGAUUUCUCGCAGCCUGGCUUCGUUUUUCUUUGGAUCCGGUGCGUGCGUGCGUGCAAGCUCUCUCUCUCUCUCUCUCUCGGUGCGUGCGUGCGCGCAGUUCACACCACUAGACCCAAACCCUAAACCAAAUCAGGGGAGCUCUCGUUGCCGGAUCGCUGGCCUAUCGUCCGGAUGUCCGCCGCGUCAGUUCCCCACAGCUACGGUGCCGCCAGCCACCGCCGUUCCAUUGCCUUGGAUUCGGCUGUGCUCGUGGGCUGGGAACCGUGCUCUGUUGUCUGAUGCGUCGUUGGAGCGGGAGGUUUGAUCGGUCGAGGCCAGGUAUGAGCAGCUCCUUUGCUGGCUGGAUGGAUGGAUGUAGGUCAUAUGUCGUGAACUAACACCACGACACCUCUUUUGGAACGGAGGGAGUAUGUAUGUACGUAUGGAUGUCAUGGUCAUGUUGCUUGGGGGUUCAACCUCUUUUUGCGUUAGGGUUCACUUCGUGUGUUCUUUCGCUCCAGGGGUCAUUUUUGUCAAUUUUGCCCCCCUCCCCAUUAUUUUUGCUAAAUGGCCCCUUCACAGGAGUAUGUAGCAGAGCAUCUACAGCCAUACAUGGAUCUGGAACCGGAGCGGAUACCCAUCCGGGUCCAGAUCUCGACCGACCCCUUCUCCCGCUGGUGACGAGCCCCUAGCUAGCUAGCUCGGACCAGCCCGGCUGCGAGAGGCCACCGGUGGCAUGGCUGCGUGCGGCGGCAAGGCCGCGUGUAAUGCGAGCGCUCUACUUGGAUCUGUCCGAAUCCUGGCGAGCCCUGUCUCCCGCUCGCCGUGGCCGCUGAUCGCGCUCGUCGGCUGGGGCCGCGUCCCUCCUCAUACGGCGGCGAUGAUGGAGGGAGCCGCCGGCGCNNNNNNNNNNNNNNNNNNNNNNNNNNNNNNNNNNNNNNNNNNNNNNNNNNNNNNNNNNNNNNNNNNNNNNNNNNNNNNNNNNNNNNNNNNNNNNNNNNNNAUUUAAGCGGGACUUCGAAAAUUUCCAACCCAAUUCGUCCAUUACUCUUCUUCCUCUCGUUCUCCUACCCGACGCGGCACAGCGACGAACGUAACCGACGCCGUCACGCUGCCCGCCGUCCUGCUCGCCGUCGGCCAUCCUCCUUGCCGCCGCGCCGUCCUCCUCGCCGUCGCGCCGUCCUCCUCGCCGCCUCGCCGUCCUCCUCGCCGUCGCUCCGUCCUCCUCGCCGUCGCGCCGUCCUCCUCGCCAACACUCCGGCCAGUAAGCCCCCCGCCCCCUCCUCCCCAACACUCCGGCCAGUAUAGAAGAAAAGAUGAAAAAGGAGAAGAGAAGAAGAAAAAGGAGAACAAAGGAAGAAAAAGGAGAACAAAAGAAGAAAAAGGAGAAGAAAAGAAGAAAAAGAAAAGAUUUUUUUGUCAUUUAGUUCCUAUUGUUUUUAGGUUUGUGCUAAAUUAUUAGGGUUAGUAAUAUUUAGAAUUAGGUUAGGGUUACAAGAAGAAGAAAUAUGAACAAAAAUAAGAAAAUAAGAUUAGGAAAAAUGAAAAUAAGAAGAGGAGGAGAAGAAAAGAAGAAAAAGUGUAUAUUGUAUAGUGUAUAUGCUUAAGUGUAUAGUGUAUAUAGUGUAUAGUGUAUAAGGAGAGGAGGAAUUUUGCUAUAGUGUAUAUAGUGUAUAGUGUAUAAGAAAAGAAGAAAAGAAGAGGAGGAGAAGAGAAGAAAAGAAGAGGAGGNNNNNNNNNNNNNNNNNNNNNNNNNNNNNNNNNNNNNNNNNNNNNNNNNNNNNNNNNNNNNNNNNNNNNNNNNNNNNNNNNNNNNNNNNNNNNNNNNNNNAUGAUUGAUUCAGGUUUCAAAGACGAGUUUGAUACACUUGUUCACAAUGUUGGACUUGAAGAAUUCAUCUCCGAUAAAUGUGAAUAGUAUACUACUCUCACUGCCUCUUUUGUUCGUAGAUUUAAAAUUUUAGCUGGCCGUGACACAUCAGUACUGUUUGAUCUCUAUGACAAAUCGUAUACCAUGGAUUUAGAGGAUUUCAAUAGAAAUUGCAAGAUACCUGAUUGGGGUAGUCUCAAUGAUCCUCCUAAAUCUUCGGUUAGAGAUUUUUUCUCUAGUACAACUGUUGGAAAAACUAGAGAUAUUACGCAGACUACCAUGGGGAGCAUUCAUUUUCCUGCCUUGCAUUACUUUGCCUUCUUCAUAGGUAGAUGCAUUAACGGCAAGAUUGAGAAUUGUCACCUCUGCGCACCCGACCUUAGUAUUCUUAAGAGCGCAGUAACGGGUGAUAGAAGUUUCAACAUGGGAGCUAUAAUCACGAGGAGGCUAAAUUAUAAUGCUAAUGAAGGGGAUUUCUUUGGUGGGAUCUAGCCACUCGCAUAGCAAAUUUUCUUGGAGUACCCAUCUGCGAAGGAGAUCCCCCGCUCCAUACAACUUUCCUUGAUCGUGCCGCUAUGACACGCUAUCAGUUCCUUGAGAGGGAUAAUGAAUCCCUCCUAUACCGGUUAAUAUUUAACCGACAGCGUGUUUUCCAUAUCACCCUUCCUGCUCCUGCCUUCUUUGACUUUCAGGUAAAACAAAGAUAUUACAUAACCAGAGGAGAGGCACAGGAGUAUGAGAGGGAGGCAAAGGCUGCUCACCUCCGUGAGGCAGAUAUUCAGGCAGUGGCUGCCGCGUUCCCGUACAACCCCCAUUAUGAUUUUGGAUAUCGCCCGGACCAGCCAUGGGAGUAGACCAACUUAGGCCAAAAGCCUAAGCUUGGGGGAGUACGUGUUUCUCACCGACUUUAUAUUCUUGUUCACACUUUCACUUUGUUAGUCGGUGUUCACACUUUGCCACUGUAUCAUCCAUGCUAGUUUAUUUAUUUUUCUCGCUUUCUUCUCGUGUGUUUAUCUAGUUUGAGAAAACCCCAAAAGAUUUGUCGUUCUUCUUUUGCUUGUUGGGAGCUUUCCCGUGUAAAUAGUUUUCUUUUUCUUUGGGUCAAGGUAGAAGACCAUGGUUACAAUGUUUAGUGGCUCUCGCAUGCAUAUCUAUUUAUCUGUCAAAGAGCCAUAUUGCUUUGUCUUCUUCUUUGUGUUUGCUUGCAGAUUCCAGCUUAGUCCAAUGCACGAGCACUCUUAUUAUUGUUCACAUCAUUCGGUCGUGCAAGUGGAAGGCAAUAAUGACGAUAUAUGAUGAAGUGACUGAGCCUGGAAAAGCUGGUAUGAACUCGAUCUAUUUUGUUUUUGUAAAUAUGACUAGCUCAUCAUUCCUGAUUCAGCUUUGUUAUGAGAGAGGCAUGUUUGCAAUGACAACUUAGAGAUCAUAGUUUCUGAUGCCAUGCUUAAUUAGCUAGGAGCUUAUAAUGGUUUGUCUUGGAUGCCAACAUGAAUUUUGAGAUGAUUAUGAUGUAGUAUGAUAGGAUGGUAUCCUCCUUUGAAUGAUUCAAGUGGCUUGACUUGGUGCAUGUUUACGCAUGUAGUUGAAACAAAAUCAACAUAGCCUAUAUGAUAUUCAUGUUCAUGGUGAUUUAUGUCCUACUCAUGCUUGCACCCAAUGUUGGUUAAUCUCAAUGCAUUUUGAUGACUGUUGUCGCUCUCUAGUUGGUCGCUUCCUAGUCUUUUGCUAGCCUUCACUUGUACUAAGUGGGAAUACUACUUGUGCAUACACUUCCAUAAAUCCAAAGUUGUUCCAUAUAUAUGAGUCCACCAUACCUACCUAUAUGCGGUAUCUACCUGCCGUUCCAAGUAAAUUUGCAUGUGCCACUCUCUAAACCUUCAAGAAAUAAUCUGUUUUGCAUGCCCGAACCGCUCAUGUGGCGACAAGGGGCGAUCAGUAUCUUCCAUGCUAGGCCUGUUAUCCUCGAUAUGUGUUUAUUCACUAUCAUUCACGAGAAAGGGGCCGGUAAUGGGAAUGCCCAGUUCCAUGCUUAAAUCGAAAAGAUAAUUGCAAACAAAACUCCCCCUAGAUUGUUGUUGGUAUGGACGGCACCCGAGUAUUCGGCUAGUCGUGGAGUGUGAUUGAUCGGUGGUGGGCGAGUCAAAACUUUACUUUUCUGUUUGGGAACCGCCUAUAGUAUGUGUAGCAUGAAAGAUGGUGAAAACUCUUGGUCAUUGCAUUGACAAUGAAAGCAUGCCACCCAAAAUUAUUUAUCUCUGUUUUCAAAGCAUGAGCUCUCGCACCUCUGCAAAUCAAUGCCUCCCUCUGCGAAGGGCCUGUCUAUUUAUGUUUCUGUUGAGUCAUCCUCCUCUUAUAAAAGCACCAAUUAGAGAGCACCUCUUUCAUUUGUAUGCUUUGCUUUUAAUUGAUAUUGAGUAUGACUGUGACUGGAUCUUCUUUGCCAUGAAUUACAAUAUUCAGUCAGCCCUUGGUCUUUGAAGGUGCUCUGCAUUUAUGUUUUGCGGUCUGAAAAAGAGCUAGCUAGAUACCAUCUGUUCAUAUUGCUUCAUGAUUGUUUUGAUUGAAGUGUUGACGUUUGAAACUUAUUAUUAUUGCUCGCUAGUUGAUUAUGCCAUUGAUAUGAGUUCCUCUUGAGAUUAAAUGUCAUUGCUUAUGUGGUUAGCUUAUGAUCUUGCUGAAAAUCUGAAUAUGAGUUAGACAUAAUUGCAUCAACAAGAUCAAACAUAGUUCGUAAAAGUUUUUCUUUUGUCUCUUUCAGUUUGUCAACUGAAUUUCUUGAGGACAAGCAAGGCUUUAAGCUUGGGGGAGUUGAUACGUCUCCGUCGUAUCUACUUUUCCAAACUCUUUUGCUCUUGUUUUGGACUCUAAUUUGCAUGAUUUGAAUGGAACUAACCCGGACUAACGCUGUUUUCAGCAGAAUUGCCAUGGUGUUGUUUUUGCGCAGAAAUAAAAGUUCUCGGAAUGACCUGGAAAUUUACGAGGAUAUUUUGUGGAAUAUAAAAAAAAUACUGGCGCAAGAAUCAACCAGAGGAGUGGAGCGAGGAGCCCACAAGCCCACCAGGCGUGGCCUCCCUGGCCGUGCCUAGCAGGCUUGUGGGCCCCUUGGAGCUCCACCGCCUCCAACUCCAGCUCUAUUUAGUCCCUUUCGUGCGGAAAAAAAUCAAGGAGAAGAUUUCAUAGCGUUUUACGAUACGGAGGCGCCGGCACCUCCUGUUCUUCCUCUUGAGGGCAGAUCUGGAGUCCGUUCUGGGCUCCGGAGAGGGGAGAUCAUCGCCAUCGUCAUCACCAACCUUCCUUCAUCGUCGAUUCCAUGAUGCUCUUCACCGUUCGUGAGUAAUCUCAUCGUACGCUUGCUGGACGGUGAUGGGUUGGAUGAGAUCUAUCAUGUAAUCGAGUUAGUUUUGAUGGGGAUUGAUCCCUAGUAUCCACUAUGUUCUGAGAUUGAUGUUGCUACUACUUUGCCAUGCUUAAUGCUUGUCACUAGGGCCCGAGUGCCAUGAUUUCAGAUCUGAACCUAUUAUGUUGUCGCCAAUAUAUGUGUGUUUUAGAUCCUAUCUUGCAAGUUGCAGUCACCUACUAUGUGUUAUGACCCGGCAACCCCGGAGUGACAAUAGCCGGAACCACUACCGGAGAUGACCAUAGUAUGAGGAGUUCAUUUAUUCACCGCGUGUUAAUGCGUUGGUCCGGUUCUUUAUUAAAAGGAGAACCUUAAUAUCCCGUAGUUUCCAUUAGGACCCCGCUGCCACGGGAGGGAUGGACAAUAGAUGCCGUGCAAAUUCUUUUCCCUAAGCACGUAUGACUACAUACGGAAUACAUGCCUAUAUUAGAUUGACGAACGGGAGCUAGUUACAUAUCUCUCCGUGUUAUAGCUGUUACAUGAUGAAUCACAUCCGUCACACUCAUCCAUCACCGAUCCAUUGUGUGCGAGUCUUUUACUACUGGUUCUCGCUGCGUUACUUUGUCUAAGCUUGUCCCUAGCUACAAAAGGAUUGGGCCACUUUGCUGCUGCUGUCACUACUGCUGUUACUUGUUACUUUGCUGCUGCUGUCACUACUGCUGUUACUUGUUACUCCGCUGUUACUUUUGCAAGACUUUGUUGGCGCUAACAUCCCGUCAACAAGGCUUUUUCUGGCGCCGUUGCCGGGGAUUGUCAAAGCUUUUUCUGGCACCGUUGCUAUCGUACUACCUUGCUACUGAUACUUUGCUUGCAGACACAAAUCUUUCAGGUGUGGUUGAAUUAACAACUCAGCUGCUAAUACUUGAGAAUAUUCUUUAGCUUCCCCUUGUGAGCGAAUCAAUAAAUUUACUAGCAUGCUUCAUCAAUCCUACGCAAUCAACAAAGGUGGUCUAACUUGAGGAGCCCAAGAUCAUCAUCGUGAUUUAGCUCAAGUGGAGUAUGCGCAAGGCAAAGGUUUUACCUUGAUAGGUUUUCUAUUUUGCUUGUCUCAUGGUGUCAGUUGGGAGCCUGGUUCUCGCGCUUCACCAGCUACCUGUACGGCCUCAAGCAGGCGCCGCGAGCCUGGUUCNNNNNNNNNNNNNNNNNNNNNNNNNNNNNNNNNNNNNNNNNNNNNNNNNNNNNNNNNNNNNNNNNNNNNNNNNNNNNNNNNNNNNNNNNNNNNNNNNNNNUCAGCAGUUCAAAGCAUUCUGAGUAUGUAAAGCAUAAAACGGCUCAACAUCCAGUUCGCUAUGAGCAUAUCUCAUAAGUGUCGAAUUUGAUAACAUAUACUCCCUCCGUCCCAAAUAAGUGUCGCAAAUUUUGUACCAAGGUACAAAUUUAAUACUAAAGCAGCGACACUUAUUUUGGGACGGAGGGAGUAUUACAGUGAGAUCCCAAUACUGCUAUAAAUCAUUUACAGAUUGAGAAGAUUAUACAUAAGCACAUAACCACAAAUUGUAGAAAGAGAGGUCAUAUUUAAAAAGAAAAUGGGAGGCUCAGAGUUGGCCCAGUCUAUCAUAUGGGCAAAACCAACUCUGUAUCCGAUCCACUGUGUGACAAUUCGGUAUUGAAAUGGUAGCUCACAGAAAGCAAGCUCUCCCGAUUUGCACGCUUACACCUGGUCACACAAAACCCUAACCCUAAACAAUACCAUGAAAACAAGCGAUGGUAUCUGAUCUCAGUACCACCUCUAAAUGAGCCUUACUCAUCAUCGCCAUCAACAGCACUUGGCAAAAUCACAAAGAGAAUAGCAGAGAAGCCAAUAGUCAAAGAGCGCAAGAUGACCAUAAACCACAGGAGAAUCGGUGAAAGCAGAAAGAAACACUACAUCAGGAGCAAGUCAUGAACUGGUAGACACAAAAACCGGGACAUGUAAAAGUAAAUGGCUCAGAUAUACCACCAUCUUGACACCAUGAGUGAACAUCUUAUAUUUGUGAACGGAGGGAGUAAUAGUUAGCCGCUGAACUGGUUACUUGCUAUGACACAAGCCAUCCUAGUUUAGCACCAAGUAAUCAAUUCAGGUGUUGGACAGAAGCUCUCGCAGGGAAGCUAUAUCAUCAUAGCCAUUCAUAAACAUUACAUGAAGGAAACAGUAAUCUUAACUUGCCCUAUACGACCCUUAAGUUGAAACCAGUAAAGAAGUAACGAGAAACCAAAGGUACAAACUGAUAAGUAGAUAAAGAGUACAGCAGAAGAAUGAAUUUAUCAAGUCAAAUAGCAAUUGAAACAAGCAAACUGACCCAACACCAAAUAAGAUAGUUUCAAGAACAAUCCAACGGACAGCGGAGUUAUCAUAGCCAUUCAGGAAAAAAGAAGAACAGAAGACAACAAUAAGUGCGGCUAGAGUACUGUUCCCAAAACAACAGAACUGGUUGACGUACCGCAAAACCAAUAAAAUGUGUAGGAAAAAAUUGAAUAAUCAAAGANNNNNNNNNNAUAAGGGUCAAAAUUAGGUCGGAUAAGAUACAGAACAUCUACAGCUAAGUACAGUAUCAGCAGCUGGAAGGCCAUUAGAGCUCACAAGAGAGAAGAGAUGGUAAUUACGAUUUAAGGGCCUCUUUGGAACGCAAGUGUAGUUUCAUAUGUAUUCCCUCCACAUUCAGUAAGAGCUCAAGCGGAGAGGGAUUCAAAGUUCCCAGCCACAGCAGGUCAUGUCCAGCGGAACUGAAUUGUGAAAAUUCCAUCAGGUAGUACACCCAAAUUCCCAGCCGCCCCACGAUCCACACCGCAAGCCGCCAGCCCCUGAUGUUUCAUCUGCGGCGGCUGCCCGAGGGAGGGAGGGAGGGUCCAAAACAAAAUGCAAUUAAAAGGUGAAAAAUUGAUGGUUCAGUUUUGUCUUUCAUCUUCAAACCCAGCACUCACUCUCUUGCUGCAUAAUCCACCCAUCAUGAUGUAAUAGAACUGCCCUGGUUAUCACUCAUCAGAACGACCGUCCGAGGCACAGAACAUACAACAUCAUAGAUGAAUUGAACAGGCUGCAAGAGAGGUAAGGGUGAGCCGGAAUCGGUGACCCUUGUUCUGUGAGAUAAUCUAAGACAGCCAAGCGCUCAUUCUGGUCAAACACAAUAAGGUCCAUGACAGCCUUAUACAAGCCAGGAUGUGUUUCAGCAUGACAGGUGUUGUUGAUGGCACGUGCAAUCUCACGCAUAGCAUCAGUCAUGUUGCUACACUGGAUAGUCUUCCUUAGUCAAAACAGAUGUCCUCUUUCUCUUCUUAGUUGAAGUAGGUGAAGGAUCCUGAGUGGCACUAGCAGUAGGAAGUACAAAGUUAGAUCCACUAGGAACAUGUUCAAAUACCUCAUCAGUUGUUCCUUGUCCCUCCAUGACUUUGGAUUUGUCUUUGGCUUCCACAACAAUAGGUUUUCCCAGUGGGACACCAGUGGCCAUUGCAUAACCCCCCGAGCAAGCAAUAUUUGGCAUAGAUAGCUGCUGGUUGGUGAGUGAACAGAGGAGAUGAGAGGGAGGGAGAUUGGAGGAAAGAGGAGGGAGGACGGCGGCGGAGCUACCUUGGGCUCGGUCAGGGCCGAGCAGGAACCGCGUCGCAGCCUGGGGCGAGGCCGGCGGCGGAGCUGUCUUUGAUCGCUCAAGGAAUGAUUAUUUCAGCCAGAGUCAUCAUCAUCGCCCCUCAUUUUUUUCCCCAAAAGGAGGUUGAUCUCCCGACUGGGCUCUACACACCAAGCAACAUGACCACGAUACCCAUUACAUGCAUGCAAACAUCCAUCCAUCCAUCCUCUUUAAUUACUUGUCACACCACCUUUUUUGCGUAUGUGGCUUGUAUGUUACUCCCCUUCCAUAAUUCCUGUUGUGGUUUAAGUUACUCCCACUAUGACUAGUCUCAGUCUCAGGAGCUGCUCAUGCCCAGCGUCAGCUGACCAAACCUCCGGCUCAUAUGACACAUCAGACAACACUGUACUGUUCCCAGCCCACGCCACAACCAAAUCCAAGGCAACGGAAUGGCGGUGGCUGGCAGCACCGUAGAUUCGGGGAACUGAUGUGGCAGCCACCCAGACGACAGAGUCAGCGAGUCGGCAAUGAGAGCUUGACUGAUUUGUUUUAGAGUUUGAGAGAGAGAGAGAGAGAGAGANNNNNNNNNNGGCUCUAAGGGCAUCUCCAACGAGGUCACCGAUUCCGGCUCUAAUUAGUACCCACACACCACAGCUGUCUUGAUUGCUCAAGGCAUGAUUAUGUCGGCCGGUGACAUCAUCAUCGCCCCUCAUUUUUUUCCCAAAAAGGAGGUUGAUCCCUCGGCUGGGCUCUAUACACCAAGCAACAUGACCACGAUACCCAUUACAUGCAUGCACACAUCCAUCCAUCCAUCCUCUUUAAUUACUUGUCACACCACCUUUUUUGCGUAUGUGGCAUGUAUGUUACUCCCUCCGUUACAUAAUUCCUGUUGUGGUUUUAGUUCAAGUUCAAAUUGAACUAAAACCUAAGUUACUCCCACCUAUGACUAGUCUCAGUCUCAGGAGCUGCUCAUGCCCGGCAUCAGCUGACCAAACCUCCGGCUCAUUCGACACAUCAGACAAUACUGUACGGUUCCCAGCCAACCCCACAACCAAAUCCAAGGCAAUGGAAUGGCAGUGGCAGGCAGCACCGUAGAUUCAGGGAACUGAUGUGGCAGCCACCCAGACGACGGGUCAGCGAGUCGGCAAUGAGAGCUUGACUGGUUUGUUCUUCUUCUUCUUCUUCGCAGGGAGGGAGAGAGAGAGAGAGAGAGAGAGAGNNNNNNNNNNGAACAAAAUGCAACUGAACCGAGUUUAUGUAACGUAGCAAGAGAGGGCUCAGUUUUGCAUUUCAUCUUCAAACCCAACACUCACAUCUCUUGCAGCAUAAUCCACCCAUCACAAUGUAAGAGAACUGCCCUGGUUAUCACUCAUCAGAACGACCGUCCAAGGCACAGAACAUCCAACAUUGGCGAUGAAUUGGACAGGCUGCAACAGAGGUAAGGGUGGGCUCUAAGAGCAACUCCAACACAGACACCAAUUUUCAGGCACUAUUUAGUCCCACCUCGCCAUGGCUGUCUUGAUGUCUCAAGACAUGAUUAUUUCAGCCACAGUAAUCAUCAUCGGCAUCGCCCCUCUUUUUUAAUCCAAAAAGAGGUUGAACCCCAAAGCAACAUGACCAUGAUAUCCAUACAUACAUAUGUACUCCCUCCGUUCCAAAAUAUACUCCCUCUGUUCGAGAUAAGUAUCGUGGCUUUAGUUCACGACACAUGACCUGCAUUCAUCCAUCCUGCUAACUCUACCGUUCAAACAGGGCCUUCAUCACACAGUAGCACUAACUUUAACCUCUAACCUCUAGCUAAGUUAGAGUAUCCAAACAGGGCCUUCAUCACACAGUAGCAUCCAUCCAUCCAUCAAACUGGUCAUAGUGGUGAGUAACUUAGACAGUCUCAGGAGCUGCUCAUACCUAACGUCAGCCGACCAAACCUCCGCCUUGAACGACACAUCGGAACAAAACUCUACGGUUCCCAGCCCACGCCACAACCGAAUCCAAGGCAGUGGAAUGGCAGGCUGGCAGCACCGUGGCAACAGGGAACUGAUGUGGCAGCCACCCGGACGGUGGGUCAGCGAGUUGGCAACGAGAGCUUGACUGAUUUGUUUUAGGGUUAAAGAGAGAGAGAGAGAGAGAGAGAGAGAGUGGAGGGAUGCCAGCACUGGCCAUGUGGGUGACAGUGUCGUUGGCCAGCCUGGUGCGUGGACUCGGGGUCCGAGCGACGGCUCCGGAUUUGGUUGCUGGGUUGCUGGGUGUCGGCUCUAGUUGCUCCCUCUGUUCCAAAGUAUACUCCCUCCGUUCCAGAUAAGGCUGGUCGUAAUAGAGAGUAUCAUAUACUAGUAUUAUGCAUAUGAUACUACAUCCGUAAUGCAUAUUAUAAUCUGUUAAUAGUAUCAUAGGGUGGUUCAUUUAUUGCCAUGCAUGACACAUACUCAACUUCAUUUAAUUCUAUGAAGAAUCAUCAAAAUUGCCUACUUAUGAUACUCCCAUUACAAACAGCCUAAGUAUCGUGGUGUUAGUUCACGACACAUGACCUGCAUCCAUCCAUCCAGCCAGCUCAGGAGCUGCUCAUACCUGGCCUCGACCGACCAAACCUCCCGCUCCAACGACGCAUCAGACAACAGGGAACGGUUCCCAGCCCACGCGCACAGCCGAAUCCAAGGCAAUGGAACGGCGGUGGCUGGCGGCACCGUNNNNNNNNNNNNNNNNNNNNNNNNNNNNNNNNNNNNNNNNNNNNNNNNNNNNNNNNNNNNNNNNNNNNNNNNNNNNNNNNNNNNNNNNNNNNNNNNNNNNUGGCCCUCCUCCCCCUGCUGCCCUCCUCCCCCUGUGGCCUCUCCUCCCCCUGCGGCCCUCCUCCCCCUUUCGGUUAGUUUUUUUCUUCUUUUUUUUAAUAGUUUUUGCCUAAUUAGUUAUAUGUUUUAGUGAGGUUUUGGCUUAGUUUUAGUUUAGUUCAGGUUUAGUUUUAGUUUAGGUUUAGUUAGGUUAGUUUCCUGUUUAGUAAAGGAGAAAAGGAGAAGAAGAAGAAGGAGAAAGGAGAAGAUGAAGAAGGAGAAAGGAGAAGAUGAAGAAGGAGAAAGGAGAAGAAGAAGAAGGAGAAAGGAGAAGAACAAGAAGGAGAAAGGAGAAGACAAAAAUAAGAAGAAGAAGGAAAAGAAGAAGAAGGAAAGGGAAGGGAAGGAGAAGAAAGAAGAAGAAGAAGAAGAAGAAAAAUAGGAGAGGAAGAGAAGAAUAAGAGGAAAAAACAAAAUAAGAAGAAGAAGAAGAAGAAGAAGAAGAAGAAGAGAAGAAGAAAACAAGAAGAAGGAGAAGAAGAAUAAGAGGAAAAAAGAAAAAAGAAAAUAGGAAUAAUAAUAAUAAUAAUAAUAAUAAUAAUAAUAAUAAUAAUAAUAAUAAGAAGAAGAAGAAGAAGAAGAAGAAGAAGAAAAUAAGAAGAAGGAGAAGAAGAAUAAGAGGAAAAAAGAAAAAAGAAAAUAAGAAGAAGAAUAGGAAAAAAGAAAAAAGAAAAUAAGAGUUAGGUCACAUAUUUUUGAUUAUCUUAUAAAAACAUCAUAUUUGUGUGUUGAUCGGGUGAAUUUCAAUGUGCAGUUGUUCGACGACCUCCACGUGCGUUGGACGAGCUCCACCCCUACGCUUGUUGGUGAGCACAAAUGACUUCUCCUCCUACCCCCUUAAUUUGCUCUAUCUCGGUCCUCGUGCCGAUGAAACUUGCUAGCUAUAUAUAGUUUUCUUCAAUCAUGAGUAUGCGUGACCAGUAUGCGUCUCCCAUUCGAAAGGGCGACAUCUAUAAAUAUGCAUGUCUUUGCAUAUUUAUAACCGCCAUCCUUUGGAAUUGUCCAACAUUAUCCAUGGACAGCCCGAGUAUGUGUAGAUUGGGUUUGUUUUCCCGUAUGUUGUGCUCUGGAUCCGAUGCGGAAUUUCGUCAGUGCCUCCCUGUUGUUCUUCGGAUGCACAUCCUCUCUGUUUAUUGCGGAGGUGUGUAUCAGGCGAAUAGUUGGGAGGUGCUGCCGAAAUUUUGCGUUGGAUCCGGAGCAGAGCAUGGGAAAACGAACCCAAUCUACACAUACUCGGGUGGGAUUAGGACCUAUCUUUACCUAUUAGCGUGUAGGUUGCCUGGACGUAAUAAAAAUGGCGAACCUGAUUAACCGAUGAAUAUAAAUGCUAAAUUAUAUAUAAAUAUAUUUCUUCUGUCUUUAGUAGCUACGCAAGAUGAGUGAUCGUGCGUGGAUGUAUACCGGUCACCCUAGUCAGAAAGAGAUGACGAAAGAAUGGUUUGUAAAAACAAAGGAAUUUGUGAAAGCCGCAUUCGCAACUGGCGAGGAAAGAAACUAUUGCCCCUGUCCUGGAUGUGACAACUAUAAAAAGACGACAGCGGCUGUAAUGAUUAAACACCUGCAGAGGAGGGGUUUUAAGCCUAAUUAUACGGUGUGGACAUUUCAUGGUGAGUCUAUACAACGCACAAGAGCUGAGGUGGUCCGUCGUCGCACGGACGAGCAUGGUACCGGGAUCGAAGACAUGGUGCAAGACUUUGAUGAUGCUCGGGAUUCGAAAGAUGAGAUGGAGGAAUAUGCAAAGGCCUUUUAUGAAAUGUUGGAGUCUUCAAAACGUCCUCUUCAUGAGCACACUGAGCUCUGUCAGUUGGAUGCAAUUGCACAAGUAAUGUCUCUGAAGGCUCAGUUCAACUUGGGAAGAGAAUGCUACGACGCGAUGAUGACACUAUUUGGACGUUUCCUACCCAAAGGCCAUGUCAUGCCUGCAAACCUGUACCAGUCGGACAAAAUACUUCGUGUACUUAAGAUGCCCUAUGAGAAGAUAGAUGCAUGUGAGAAAGGAUGUGUCUUAUUUAGGAAGGAGUAUGCACACUUGGACUAUUGUCCCAAUUGCGAGUCUUACAGGUAUCUUGGGGUAGACAACGGUAUGGGUGAGAAGNNNNNNNNNNNNNNNNNNNNNNNNNNNNNNNNNNNNNNNNNNNNNNNNNNNNNNNNNNNNNNNNNNNNNNNNNNNNNNNNNNNNNNNNNNNNNNNNNNNNCUGUGUUCAGAAGACAUCAAUCCAAGUCCAGAUGGGCCGUUACUCACAUCAACACAAUAUAGAGGAAUAGAAAAAAAAAACAAUGCAUAUUAAAGAAGGUAAAAUCAAAUAUUUGUAGCGUAGCGAAAGAGGGCUCAGUUUUGCCUUUCAUCUUAAAGCCUGACACUCACAUAGCUUGCUGCAUAAUCUACCCAUUGCGAUGUAAGAGGACUGUCCUGGUUAUCAUUCAUCAGAAUGACCGUCCAAGGCACAGAACAUCCAACAUUAGCUAUGAAUUGAAUUGCUGCAAGAGAGGUAAGGGUGCGCUCUAAUUUAGUAGCCACAGACCACAGCUGUCUUAGUUGCUCAAGACAUGCUUAUUUCAGCCAUGGUCAUCAUCAUCGCCCCUGGUAAGAACUCCAUCUCUUCAUCACACAGUAGCAUCCAUCCAUCCAUCCAUCAGACUGGUCAUAGUGGUGAGUAACUUAGACAAUCUCAGGAGCUGCUCAUGCCCGGCGUCAGCUGACCAAACCUCCGGCUCGUAUGACACAUCAGACAACACUGUACGGUUCCCAGCCCACGCCACAACCAAAUCCAAGGCACAAUGGAAUGGCGGUGGCUGGCAGCACCGUAGAUUCGAGGAACUGAUGUUGCAGCCCCCCAGACAGACGACGGGUCAGCGAGUCGCAAUGAGAGCUUGACUGAUUUGUUUUAGGGUGAGUGUGAGUGUGUGUGUGUGUGUGUGUGAGAGAGAGAGAGGGGGGGGGAGGUGAAGAGGAUCCAUGCCAAAUCCAGAACAAAAUGCAACUGAACUGAGUAUAUGUAGCAUAGCAAGAGAGGUCUCAGUUUAGCAUUUAAUCUUCAAACCCAACACCCACAUCUCUUGCUGCAUAAUCCACACAUCACAAUGUAAGAGAACAGCCCUGGUUAUCACUGAGAUGGCCGCAUGCUGCCGAUGGUUUCCGACUGAACCAAUGUACAUGCCCUCAUCAGAACAACCGUCCAAGGCACAGAACAUCCAACAUUGGCGAUGAAUUGGACAGGCUGCAACAGAGGUAAGGGUGGGCUCUAAGAGCAACUCCAACGCAGAUACCCACUUUCAGACACUAUUUAGUCCCACCUUGCCACGGCUGUCUUGAUGUCUCAAAGACAUGAUUAUUUCAGCCAGUCAUAAUUAUGGGCAUCGCCCCUCUUCUUUAUCCAAAAAAGAGGUUGAACCCCCAAGCAACAUGACCAUGAUAUCCAUACGUACAUACAUACUCCCUCCGUUCCAAAAUAUACUCCCUCCGUUCCAAAAGAGGUGUCGUGGUGUUAGUUCACGACACAUGACCUGCAUCCAUCCAUCCAGCUCAGGAGCUGCUCAUACCUGGCCCUCGACCGACCAAACUUCCCGCUCCAACGACGCAUCAGACAACAGGGAACGGUUCCCAGCCCACNNNNNNNNNNNNNNNNNNNNNNNNNNNNNNNNNNNNNNNNNNNNNNNNNNNNNNNNNNNNNNNNNNNNNNNNNCAAUGCGCGCACGCACGCACGCACCGAGAGAGAGAGAGAGAGAGAGAGAGAGAGAGAGAGAGAGAGAGCUUGCACGCACGCACCGGAUCCAAAGAAAAAGAAGCCAGGCUACGCGAAAUCCAUCGACGGCGACUCAGAUCCUGCGCCGGAAACCGCCGCUCGGUCCCCAGCCCGCACGGCCGCGGACGUCUCCCGCACCGGCGGCAGCCCCGAGGNNNNNNNNNNGGGCAAUGGAACGACGGUAGCUGGCGGCACCAUAGCUGUGGGGAACUGACGCGGCGGACAUAGGCCAGCGAUCCGGCAACGAGAGCUCCCCUGAUUUGGUUUAGGGUNNNNNNNNNNNNNNNNNNNNNNNNNNNNNNNNNNNNNNNNNNNNNNNNNNNNNNNNNNNNNNNNNNNNNNNNNNNNNNNNNNNNNNNNNNNNNNNNNNNNUGGUAAGGAGACCUGAAGGAUUGGAAUAUCACCAAAGAACUAGCAAUGGUUUCGAAAGGCUUCAAGUACUAUUUUCAGAUUCUUGUUGAUGCCAUUUUUCAGUUUUUUGGUCCUAUUUUCGCAUACAUUGUCAAUUUUCUGUUCGUAUUUGCCAUUGUAGUCCUCCUUAACUUCCACCAUCGAUGCUUGCCAUCCCUACGUCCUUAUAAAGCUUCAUCUGCGAGGGAGAGGCAUCGAUGAGGAAGGAUGCUGGUGGUGAUGCGUGCCGUCUCCCCUGGCUUCGGACCUUCGCUUCAUGGGGCCACCCCUCCAGUCGUGCCCUGUGCGCUAACGCAUUGGCUUGGGAGGCCACCUCGGGCAGCCGCCGCAGCUGAAACAUCAGGGGCUGGCGGUUUGCGGUUUGCGGUGUAGAUCGUGGGGCGGAGUACUCCCGUGGCUGGGAAGUUGGGUGUACUCAGCGAGAUCUCAGCUACUUUGAUGGAUUUUUCACGAUUCAGUUCCGCUGGACCUGAGCUGCUGUGGUUGGGAACUCUGAAUCCCCCUCCACUUGAGCUCUUACUGAAUGUGGAGGUAAUACAUGUGAAACUACACUUGCGUUCCAAAGAGGCCCUUAAAUCUUAAGUACCACCUCUUCUCUCUCGUGGGCUCUAAUGGUCUUGCAGCUGCUGAUACUGUGCUUCGCUGCAGAUGUUCUCUAUCUGAUCCGACCUAAUUUUCACCCUUACCUGUUGCAUGCGCAAAGGGAUCUUUGAUUAUUCAAUUUUUUCCUACACAUUUUAUUGGUUUUGCGGUAUGUCAACCAGUUCUGUUGUUUUAGGAACAGUACGCUAGCCGCACUUAUUGUUGUCUUCUGUUCUUCGUAUUUCCUGAAUGGCUAUGAUAACUCCGCUGUCCCUUGGACUGUUCUUGAAACUAUCUUAUUUGGUGUUGGGUCAGUUUGCUUGUUUCAAUUGCUAUUUGACUUGAUAAUUUCAUUCUUCUGCUGUACUCUUUAUCUACUAUCAGUUUGUACCUUUGGUUUCUCGAUACUUCUUUACUGGUUUCAACUUAAGAUUACUGUUUCCUUCAUGUCAUGUUUAUGAAUGGCUGUGAUGAUAUAGCUUCCCUGCGAGAGCUUCUAGCCAACACCUGAAUUGAUUCACUUGGUGCUAAACUAGGAUUGUUUGUGUCAUAGCAAGUAAUCAGUUCAGAGGUUAACUAUUACUCCCUCCGUUCACAAAUAUAUGAUGUUGUUCAGUCAUGUUGUCAAGAUGGGGGGUAUAUCUGAGCCAUUUACUUAUACAUGUCCCAGUUUUUGUGUAUACCAGUUAAUGACUUGGUCCUGAUGUAGUGUUUCUUUCUAUUUCUACUGAUUCUCCUAUUAUUUCUGGUCAUCUUGUGCUAUUUGAUUAUUUGCUUCUCUGUUAUUCUCUGUAAGUGAUUUAUGAGAUAUGCUCAUACGAACCGGAUGUUGAGCCAUUUUAUACUUGCAUACUCAGAAUGCUUUGAACUGCUGAUGCAUCAAGAGAUUCUAUGUUGGAGUGUAGCGUUUCGGUGGCCAGGCUCAUCUGCACCCGGCCAGAAAAAAAUUCACAAAUGGUUCAAAAAAAAGACAAAUCAGGUCAUGAAGAAAUGAUUUUGUUUUUAAUUUUUCUAGUAUUUGUUUUGAUCUUUUUCGUCCACGCGGGUGCAUAUUAGCCUGAGUUCAGAAGUGGAUUAUCAGAGCUGCUUUUCAUUCAUGCAUCUGCACUAUGGCGCCUCAAGUGUCAGCAAGAAGAUACUACAUUUGGUCUUUGAUGUCAGCAUAUACUCCCUUGGUCCCACAAAGAUGUUUUUGCAAAUAGCUUGCAAAAAUGUCUUAUAUUAUGGGACGGAGGGAGUAUUUAUUUAGUUUUGAGUACCCAUUUAUAUGUGGUAUACGUCAUGUGCAACCUAAUCUGUGCAUUCCCUCGAUUUCUAUGCACCGGUGAUAUUUCCAGUAAUACCUGAUUUGAACUUCAUUUUGUUCUUUUGAACGUAAAACAUUGUACUCUACAUCUUGAACUCUUGUGUUCUUCCUCCAGCACAGUUUAAAAGGCCUGCACGUGUACCUAGGUCAUCAAUUUGACUUAUAUAAAAUAUUGUUUAACAUUAAAAUUACUCCCUCCGUUUCAAAAUAAGUGACUCAAAAAUGACUCUAUUUUGUACUAAACUUAGUAUAAAAGUGAGUCAUUUUUGAGUCACUUAUUUUAGAACGGAGGGAGUAUAUCAAUAGAAAAUAAAACAUCUAAAGUUUUAAUGAUAUAUUUUUUGUAAUAUAUGCCUUAUUAAGUUGGUCACAUUGACGACCUAGGUACAUGUGCCGGAUUUGUAAACUGAAACGGAGGGAGUAGUUAAUUCCUCAGCUCUCCGUGGGUUACUUUUGAACGACUAAUAACUUUGAUGACAUAUAAUUUUCAUGUAAUGCAGUAUACUGGAAUGUACAAGCAUAUACAGUGGGUAUUGACUAGAAAUCUCAAUAUUAGACAAUCACAAGCUACAAGCAUAUAAACUGGAUGGUUUGUCGUGGGCUAGCUCACAUGCACGCCGUGCACCACCAUGAAAUACUCACAGGUCUGGCGAGAGUUCCUGACGAUGCUCUGUCAUGCAUUCUGGUGAUGUAAUAAUAAGUAUCGUAAAUCCUAAAAAGUGCAGCUGCACUUUUUUGCAGUCCCGGGCACACACCCCUUCCGUCCGUCCGAAAUCCAUCCCGUGUCGCAUGCUCAGGUAGGCUACCUGGUCGGGAUCCCAUUGCCGCAUCUCCAUCGACGUCGAGAAUAGACAACAGAGUCGAGCUUCCUCCCACUCUCCCUGCCUUUCUUUCUUUGACUGAGCCGCCCUCAGGUUCUUCCUGAGGCCUUAAAUGGCGUGUCGUCAGAGAUCGACCCGCCAAGCCUUUGUUGCAUCUAGCCUCUCCCUUGACCCUUGCAUGCAUGUCAUUGCGUCGGCCUUGCUGGAUGUACGCCAGCCGCCCGCCUUGCUGCCGACGACCGUACUGGUUACAUCUAGGUCGUGGGGAGGGAGAUCAAGCGACGGAGGAGACGGUCAGGGCGUGGUCAGGGCGGGCAACGGCAAGGCCGCCUUGCUGCCGACGGCCGUAGUGGUUACCUCUAGGUCGAGGGGAGGGAGAGCAAGCGACGGAGGAGACGGCCAGGGCGGGCAACGGCAAGGCCGAGAGUGAUGCGCUGGGUAAAAGAGUCAGCCAUGGCACGGCGGCAGGGUCAUCCAAGGUGCGGUGCUGCAGAAUUUUCUGUAUUCAGAUAUCAUCAGUACCGUGAUGACCACUGCUAGCAAUUCAAAGAAUAUACAUGUCGUUUUGUGAGUCAAGUGAGAAGCUCGACGCAGGGCUGACGUUGCCGUAUUUAGGUGGUGUUUCUUUACCCAGGGACUAGACUAAAAAGUCCCUUUUAGUCUCUAGGUAAAGAAACAGGAGGGACUUUUUCUUAAGGGACUACAAAAAGACUUUAUUGAAGGGACUUUUUUCUUUAGUCCCUUGGACUAAAUAAAAGUCUAGUCCCUGGAAAAGAAACACCACCUUAUGCCUGAAGCUGGCAUACAAUUUGUAGGCGCGACAUGAAUUCAUCUCCAGUUUGGAUCAAUUACGGUCAAUUAAACAAGCUUGUUUAAGACAUGAAUUCACCUCUACUUUGGAUCAAUUACGGUCAAUUAAACAAGCUUGUUUAAAACAGGGGUACUAGUUGGAAUAUCCAUUUUGUACUUGAUGCAGGUGAACAUCAUGAGGGUGAGUAGGCCGCCAGACCGACAGAGGCAGUACUUUUCAGUUUACAACCUUCUCUUAAAAAAGUAGCAGCAACAUGCAGCAGUUUCAAACAAAUAAGAAGUUCUGAAAAUUCUAUGAAAUUCUUGUUCCAAAUGUUAAAAUUCUCAGUAUUUGGUUAGUGUUGUAUAUAGAAAAUUAAUGCAUGUGUAAUCUACACACGUCGAGUACAUCAACGUACCAUCAUUGUGAUUUUCUGUUUUCUUCGCACAAAAGCUCGCCCAACGCAUGAUAGGUAUUACCUCCGUCCCAAAUUAAUUGCCUUAGAUUUGUCAAGUUAUAGAUAUAUCUAAAAAUAAAUAAAUUUGUAUCUAAGUAAUUUAGGACAGAUGGAAUAGUUGCUAGCGACGCGGGCAAGAGUUGCAGAUCGACUCCCUAGAGCCGGCAAGUAAAGUGCGGCCUGUGCGUGGAGUCGUGGGUCACGUCAGUGUUUGGCAAGCCGAACGUGCGCGGGAUCCAGUGGGUUGGGCCGGUGUUUUGCCCACCAACCAUGUGCGAAAUCGGGGGGUUGGGGUAAAUUGAGUAUUUUGUGGAUCGGGGUUGCACCUUCGUGGCUUUGGGGGGAGUCGACGAACUGCGAGAUGUAGGGAGAUAGGUUGACGAAGGUUCCAUAAAAGGAGUUGGUUGAAGGAAGCGCCCAAGACUUGCCCAACACGUGAUAGAUAGUUGCCGGAGGUAGUGGUGUGAGUUGCCUAUAAAUUUGUAGUGCACCUAGUAAUUUUUUCCUAUUCUUCUCUCCCUGGGUAGCGGGUAUUUAAAAAAGUCACAAAUAGGGGUACUCCUAUUUGUAGUGAUAGUAUAAAAAAUAAUGUUAUUGUCGUCAUGUUUACUAGAGUUUUAGUAAAGAAANNNNNNNNNNUAAAAAAAUAGAUAGAAUGAAGAAGGGAGGAAAAAAUCUUGGAACUUACAAAAAAAAUGUAAAUUCCAUCACUUCAAAACUAUUCGAUCAACACACUUAAUUCUCUAUUAAAAAUCACAUUAUUAACACGAAGUUUCACAAAUAACAGAACAUUCUCAACGAUUUAUAUCAACAUCUCUCUCACAUGAGCAAAUUGCACAAAACCACCACAACUGUGCAAAAGUUAUCACCCACCCACCAAAAUGCAUGUUUUUCUCAUGGUUUUUCCUGAAGCAUUGAUAACUUUGACCCAAUUGUGAUGGUCUUUUGUAAUUUACUCCUCUGGCAUGUGUGUGCCUUCCUUCCGUCGCCGAUCAGCAUGCCCACCGGAUGAAACGUGCAAGAUCUGUCAUUGAGCUUCUCUUUAAAAGUAAUAAAAGCCAAAAGAAACAUUAUCAAUAGAGGUUAGUUUGCUCGUAGGAAUCUUUAUCCUAUUGAGAGCGACAUGCAACGUGCAUGCAUAACCAUGAAAAGUCUCUCACAAUCCCCUCAUGUCGCUUUCAAUCAGUCAUGAAAUCAAUUGUCCAUAUUUCCGCUUUAACUAUGCGUCGUUUCUUUUUGACGUCCAAUAAAUCUAGUUUUUCUGACGAUUCUGGAAGACCGUGCGCCCGGUUACCAUGCCCAUGUUCCAUGAAUUUUAUAUAGGCACACUCGACAUGGGCAGGAUUAACUAUGGAGUCAUUGCUCUCAUCCCCAAACUAGUUGGGGCUGUUGAGAUUCGUCAAUUCAGGCCUAUUACGGUGAUUAACGUGUUGGCGCGUAUUUUUGCUAAAGUCUGCGCCACUCGCGUGUCCCCUGUGGCCGAACGAAUUGCUCAUCCCCUUCAGUCCGCAUUCCUGAAGGGCAAGAAGAUUCAUGACGGGAUUCUUGCCCUUCACGAGGUUGUCCAUGAGGUGGCGUCCAAGGUAAUGAAGGGGGUCUUUCUCAAGUUGGACUUCCAGAAGGCGUACGACCGUCUUGAUUGGUCCUUCUUGAGGUUAGUAUUGCAGCGGCGCGGAUUUGACGAGAGGUGGUGUUCCUGAAUCAUGCAACUGGUUCGAUCUGAUAGCACCGCGAUCAAUAUCAAUGGUGAAGUUGGCCCCUUUUUUCGGGCAUCCAGGGGGUAAAGCAAGGAGACCCUAUCUGCCCCCUGCUCUUUAACCUCGCCGUGGACGCCCUUACUGGCAUCCUGGAUAAGGCAAGAUUAGCAGGGCAUAUCCAGGGGGUGGUUGGUCACCUCAUCCCGGGGGGUGGGGUUUCCCACCUCCAGUAUGCAGACGACACCAUGAUCAUGGUCUCUGGCUCCGACUCCGACAUUGCUAAUCUUAAGUUCCUUUUGCUCUGUUUCGAAGAAAUGUCUGGACUUAAGAUUAACUUUGAUAAGGGUGAGGUGAUGGUCCUAGGAUACUCUGAGGCUGAGCAACUCAGAAUUGCGGACAACCUCAACUGCAAGCUGGCGGCUUUCCCUAUCUCGUAUUUGGGAAUGCCCCUAGCGGAGUCUAGGAUUCUGGUUAGCGGGUUUGGUCCGCUUGUGGGACGAGUAGCGUCCCGUGCGGAACCCUGGUGUGGCAGGUUCACUUCUAAAGGUAGCAAAUCCAUUCUCAUUAGCUCGAACCUCGCAAGUCUCCCCAUGUAUAUGAUGGGGAUGUAUAUCCUGCCCGAAGGUGUGCACAGCGCCUUCGACAAGGAACUGGCUAGAUUCUUUUGGCAGGCAGGGGAUGGUAGGCCCAAGUAUCACAUGGUGAAAUGGGCUGACGUCUGCGUGCCAAAAGACCGAGGGGGCUUAGGCAUUCCUGCGUCCCGCCGCAUGAACGUGGCCCUGAUGCUCCGAUGGGUUCGGCGGAUUCUGCAGGCACUACAGGAAUCAGCUUCUUUGCCGUCUGCCAUCACAGACGGCAAAGACUAAACCCCGGACGGCAAAGAGAAUACCACAGACGGCAAAGAAUCUCACGGCCCGCAAAAUUUCUACGUCAGCCUACGACAGCAUCGUACCUUCUUUGCCGUCUGUCCCCACAAAGCGGACGGCAAAGCUCUUUGCCGUCAGCUUUUUAUAGGAGCAGUCGGCAAAGUGCUCAAGACGGCAGCCGACAGACGUUGCCUCCAUUAGGGGUUAACGGAGGCUUUGCCGUCUGCCUCCCCCUUAUUCUUUGCCGUCUGCCUCCCCCUUAUUAUUUGUCGUCUGCCUGCCCCUUAUUCUUUGUCGUCUGCCUCCUCCUCCUCCCCCCUCCACUCUUUGCCGUCUGCCUCCUCCUCCCCCCUCCUCUAUGCCCUCUUCUUUGCCGUCUGUCCACCCUGGAGGCAGACGGCAAAGAGCCUAUAUAGACACCCCAGGAUGCACACCUGGGUGCCAUGUGGCACCUUUGCCAUCUGCUAGCUGAUGGCACAGGUCUUUGCCAUCAGCUGGCAGACGGCAGAGAGCCCAUAUAGUACCUGUUUUUUUGUUUUAUAUUAUUUCAUAGCACACACAUAUAUAUGACACCACAUUUAUAUAAUUCACCACACAUAUAUGAUAUAUAGUUCACCACACAUAUACUUGCCAACACAUAUAUAUAAUUCACCGCACAUAUAUGAUAUACAUAUAAAUCAAUGUACAUCCCCAUAUAUCGAAAGAACCAACAUACAAAGUAUUGCACUUUUAUCCAUAUAUACAUAUACAUAUAGUUCGACAUUGUUCAUUAACUCAAAUGAAAACUAGAUAAUAUGCAUAUAAAGUCCAUCCAUCGACAUUGUUCAACUCCAUGAAUGCCAGCUUCCAUGCAUGUAGUAUAUCCAAUCUGCAAAAAUGUGAAUAAGAAAGUCAGAAGAAGAACAAAAUAUUAUGUUUUUGAGCUAAUUAUGUCAUUUUUAGCGGAAAACAAGCUAAGAAUAUAAUAUUCAUGAGCUAACAAAGGUUCUUGUGCCAUUUUUAGCUUAUUAUGGCAUUUUGGAGCUAAAUGGGUUAAUUAUGUCAUUGUUGGGGAAAUUAAAGCAAGGAUAAUAUGAAAGAGGAGAAGAAAGAGGAGGAGGAGGAGAAGAAGAAGAAAUCAAGAAGAAGGAGGAGAAGGAGGAGAAGGAGGAGAAGGAGGAGGAGAAGGACUAGAAGGUUAUUGGCCUUCUCCUCCUCCUCCUCCUCCUUCUCCUUCUUCUCUUCUUCUUCUUCUUCUUCUUUCUUUUUUUUCAUUUUUCCUAUUUAUUCUCCUCUUCUCCUCUUGUUGGAGCUAAAUCACCUAAUUAUGUCUUUUUGGAGCUAUAUGGGCUAAUUAUCCCAUUUUAGAGGAAAGCAGGCUAAGAAUAUAAUAUUCAUGAGCUAACCAAGGUUGUUAUGCCAUUUUGAACUUAUUAUGGCAUUUUGGAGCUAAAUGGGCUAAUUAUGUCAUUGUUGGGGAAAUUAAAGCAAGGAUAAUAUGAAAGAGGAGAAGAAAGAGGAGGAGGAGGAGAAAAAGAAGAAAUCAAGAAGAAGGAGGAGAAGGAGGAGGAGGAGGAGGAGAAGGACUAGAAGGUCCUUGGCCUUCUCCUUCUCCUCCUCCUCCUCCUCCUUCUCCUUAUUCUCUUCUUCUUCUUCUUCUUCUUCUUUCUUUUCAUUUUUCCUAUUUCUUCUCNNNNNNNNNNUAAUAAAGAGGAGGGGGAGAAGAAGAAGAAGAAAUCAAAAAGAAGGAGGAGGACGAGAAGGCUAGAAGGUCCUUGGCCUUCUCCUCCUUCUCCUCCUCCUUCUCCUUCUUCUCUUCUUCUUCUUCUUUCUUUUCAUUUUUCCUAUUUCUUCUCCUCUUCUCCUCUUGUUGGAGCUAAAUUACCUAAUUAUGUCUUUUUGGAGCUAAAUGGGCUAAUUAUCCCAUUUUAGAGGAAAACAAGCUAAGUAUAUAAUAUUCAUGAGCUAACCAAGGUUCUUAUGCCAUUUUGAGCUUAUUAUGGCAUUUCGGAGCUAAAUGGGCUAAUUAUGUCAUUGUUGGGGAAAUUAAAGCAAGGNNNNNNNNNNCCUAAUUAUGUCUUUUGGGAGCUAAUUGGGCUAAUUAUCUCAUUUUAGAGGAAAACAAGCUAAGCAUAUAAUAUUCAUGAGCUAACCAAGGUUCUUAUGCCAUUUUGAGGUUAUUAUGGCAUUUUGGAGCUAAAUGGUCUAAUUAUGUCUUUUUGGGGACAUUAAAGCAAGGAUAAUAUGAAAUAGGAGAAGAAAUAGGAGGAGGAGGAGAAGAAGAAGAAAUCAAGAAGAAGGAGAAGGAGGAGAAGGAGGAGGAGGAGAAGGACUAGAAGGUCAUUGGCCUUUUCCUCCUUCUCCUCCUCCUCCUCCUCCUUCUCCUCCUUCUCUUCUUCUUCUUCUUCUUCUUUCUUUUCAUUUUUCCUAUUUCUUCUCNNNNNNNNNNNNNNNNNNNNNNNNNNNNNNNNNNNNNNNNNNNNNNNNNNNNNNNNNNNNNNNNNNNNNNNNNNNNNNNNNNNNNNNNNNNNNNNNNNNNNNNNNNNNNNNNNNNNNNNNNNNNNNNNNNNNNNNNNNNNNNNNNNNNNNNNNNNNNNNNNNNNAGUUCUUAUGCCAUUUUGAGGUUAUUAUGGCAUUUUGGAGCUAAAUGGGCUAAUUAUGUCUUUUGGGGGAAAUUAAAGCAAGGAUAAUAUUAAAGAGGAGAAGAAAGAGGAGGAGGAGGAGAAGAAGAAGAAAUCAAGAAGAAGGAGGAGAAGGAGGAGGAGGAGAAGGACUAGAAGGUCCUUGGCCUUCUCCUCCUCCUCCUCCUUCUCCUUCUUCUCUUCUUCUUCUUCUUUCUUUUCAUUNNNNNNNNNNNNNNNNNNNNNNNNNNNNNNNNNNNNNNNNNNNNNNNNNNNNNNNNAAUGAGCUAACCAAGGUUCUUAUGCCAUUUUGAGGUUAUCAUGGCAUUUCGGAGCUAAAUGGGCUAAUUAUGUCUUUUUGGAGUUAAAUGGGCUAACUAUGUCAUUGUUGGGGAAAUUAAGGCAAGGAUAAUAUGGAAGAGGAGAAGAGAAACUUACCGUAGUGGUCAUCAAGGAGGAGAAACACGUGGAGAAGGGUCGUGCGAUGCCGCUCGGGAGUUAUUCUGCAGAAUAGAUAUUUUGCAAUGUCUCAGUUAGCGUGAUAACACUCAAUUAUUAAUACUAGUUUAUAAUGAAACUGACCGUGCCAAUCAAAGAGAAGACGGGCAUCGACGGAGGGACUUGACCGCUCUUCUCGCACAGACCCUCAAGAGUGGGUCGUAUUAGUUAGUAAUGAAACAGACAUUACACACAUGAUUUGGCUAAUGUGAAAAAAAACUUACCACAAAAAGCUCGUACAGGGCCCGUUGACCCGCCUCAUUCCGGUACCUCUCCUCCUCAAUCAAUCGUGUCGUGGUCUGGUCCCUCUCAUCAAGAGCAGCCUGACUUGCCAAUCUCUCUUUCUCAAGAGCAGCCUGACUUGCCAAUCUCUCUUUCUCAAGAGCAGCCUGGUUUGCCAAUCUCUCUUUCUGAAGAGCAGCCUGAAACACCAUUCCUCGUUACCACAAUAAUGAUCUAUGGUAACACACAUAAUGAAAUGGAUGAAAGUGUUCUUAGUCCGUACAACUAACCUCGAUGGCAAGUUCGACUGGCCGUGGACGACGCAUUAUCUCAGGACAGCUGCUCGACUGGCGCGCCUUGAUCUCCGGAAGAGUGAGUGGACAACGUAUUAUCCCAUCUCCAAUGGCUAUCGAGCCAUGGGGCCUCCCGCCACCAGAUAUCAUCACCAACUCUAGAUCCAAAGGUUCCUGGCUAGGGUUAAAGUCAUCCCCUUUCGUAGCCUUCCCCGCGUCCCUGUAUGCCACGAGCUUCUGGUGGGAUGAUAUGUUGGUGAAGUUAUUGGGAUCAUCCACGUCAGACUCAGAGAAUGCCUUCGCCUUCUUGUACGAGGCAGUAUGGGCCAUGCCAUAAAGGUCGUACAAGUGUGGCAUCUCCGUCUUAUUCUGAUGCGCCUAAAAGAGAGGAACAAAAUAUUAGCAUCAAGAAUGAAUUGCAUGAAUCAUGAAGCGUGAUCACAUACCCAGUUUCGUCCAAACUGAAGUAAGUUGGCGCUGCUUUGAUGGUGUGGCACACCAACCAUUUGGCUAUGCUGAUCCUUCGUAUUCUCGUGGACGGCUCGCCAGCUGCCUGUGCACCACUCAUCAACCAAUGCCUCCCAACACUAGUGGGGACAGGGCCUAUAGCCCCGGCCCGUAAGGGGCUUUAGUCCCGGUUCACCAACCGGGACUAAAGGGGCGGGACUAAAGGCCUAACCUAUUCGUCCCGGCCCUCUUACAAGCCGGGACUAAAGGUGCUCCACGUGGGCACCUCGUAGCGCCCCAGGGGCAGGCCCUUUAGUCCUGGUUCGUUACACGGUCCGGGACUAAAGAUUUUCAUAUUUUGCUGGCUUUUGGGUUUUUUUUGAAUGAAAUUAUUUUUGGGUUUUAGGGUUUUAGAGUUUAGGUGUUCAGGAGAUUAACGUGAUGCCUCGUUUUGUGUUCGGGAAUUAGUUUUCAUAUAAUUUAAAAUAGAAAUAAUUAUGCAUAUAUAUAUAUAAGAUUAACUUAUCUUACAAGCGAUCAUAUAUAUACAAUUAUAUGGAGAUCUGAAUUAUCGGGACUAGAGCCCGUCUAUUCGAUUACAUGGACGAACAUCACUAAUGGCCCUUAGCUACACUAAAUCGUCCUUUGUCUUCUAUAGCUUCCGUCCUCAGAAAUCCCGCAAGCUCCUCUGCAACAGCAAUCGCGCGUUGCUCUGGUAGGACCUUCGUCCUCAUGGCCGUGUGCUAUAUAAGAAGAGGAGAUGAAUAUGAAUAUCAAUCAUGAUACACAAAGAAUGACGGGUAAAAAUAGAUGUGUGAAUGUUCAUUGCUUACGUCGAAUAUGUGCUCCUUGAACUCAGAGGUAAACGUGCGAAUGGUCUCGCAAACAUAGUAUCCGCAUAGAUGCGUUCCCCGUGGCUGCUGGUCGCACUUUACGAGAAUGGAAUAUAUAUAAUCAAAAUAAUAAUCUAGCAUCAUAAAUGUAUUGAAAAUUAAUAGAAGUAUAUCAUACUACUACUUACCUGAGCCGCUCUAAAGGUCAGCUUCUCAGGAAAGUUACCGAGAGUCACGCACUUGAACCGAUUCCAAACCCUGCCCGACAAGGAUAAUGAUUUGCUAAGUUUUUCAUUAAUUGAUAUAUCAGAAAAUCAUCGAAAGAGACCGAUAGAGCGCAAGAAUGAUUAAAAUUACCCUUGGAGCAUGUCGUGCAGGCUUUGGAACUGUUCCAAGGGUCUCGAUAAUGGGUCGAAGGCAUCAACUAUUCCUUUAUCAAUUUGAAUGUCCAACAGAAUCCAAUGAAAGCUGCACAUGUGUGUGUGUGUGUGUGUGAGUAACUUAUCAAUUACACUUAUAAGUGAAUGGACACAACAGAGUAAAGACCCUCACCUGAAGUUGUAUGGAAACAGUAUAUGGUCACAGAAAUUUUGAUCUCUUAGAAACCUUAGAAGGUUUUCCUCCGUCUCCUUGGGAUAAUUAGUUAGCGUCGCUAUAUGUAUUUUAUCUGGAUCAAUAAACCCAAUAUUUAUGAUGCUCUUACUUUUACACUCCAGAAUCUUCAUUCUGCAUAAUAGAGUACAAGUUAUAUAUAGACAAUGAAUUGAAAUAACUAAACAAGUUAUAUGUAGACAACGAAUUAAAAAACUUACAGACAAUAACAACUCAUAAGCGAUUUGUCGAGGGCGUCGCCAUUGUACAUCUAGAAGAGUUCAUCAAAGUCGAUAUGGAUUUCUUCGGAGCGGCCGUAGUACUCCUGUGGGACACUCAGCACGAUCAUCGUUCUCCCCUUCUUUGAUUCACUUAAGUACCAUUUAUGCAAGUAACGCAUAUUUGUUGGGAGAUCAUCUUUGCUGACCAAACGCUCUCCCAUGACAAACUUUGGCUUAGGGGCUACCACAGCCUUGGGUAUCCUGUCUUCUUGGGAAGCCAGCAAAUUUUCAACCAAGAUACCACAUUCAUCCGCCAACUCCUUUGCUUUUUCAAAAGCUUGCCCCUGCACCGAAGGGGGAACAUUCUCGGUUAACACCUUGAGGGGUGGGAUCGACUGUUUGGCGUGUUGUCCAAGCUGAGGAACGUCUGAUUUUUUCUUGCUUGUAGUUGAACUUGAUUUGCUCCCACUUGCACUUGCAUGUGACCUGCUCUUUUUCACUUCCUUCUGCAAUGUGCGUGUAUAGUCAUCAAGCUUAUAGUGUAAGUCAUACUGUGAUGGAGUGGUUAUGAAGUCUUUUGCCCAUGCUAUGUUCUUCUCGGUGUAUUUCGGGCGGGGCUCGGGUUCCUUCCUUUUCAUCUGCGUGUCAUGCUGUUCCUUUGCUAUCCUGGCGUUUUCCUCGGGGGUACGAUCAUAAGGUCUAAUAGGAAGAUUAGCAUGAGGUAUCUUUGGGAGGGGCGACAGUUUGCGCUUUGGGGAGCUCCGUCCCUUAGAAAUCAUCGACGAAGCGUUCUUGCUGGCACGCUUCCGCUUAGUAUCAUGUGCGGGCGGCGGCGGAGACGGACGACCCAAGUCCGGCGACGGUGAUUGAGAUGGACUCGUGUUGUGCUGGCCGACGUCAUGUGGAGGGCUUGGAGGUAAUGGAGGUGUAGGUGACCUGCGACGACUCGGAGGCGGUGUUGUCCUUGGGGCCGAGCCUGGAAGCUUGAUGUAGUUCUUGUCCCAUAGGAUGACUCCACCCAGUACUUCUCCGAGUGUCCUCUCAUCUUCGGGUCCAGCUAUGUCGAGCUCCAUAUCAUAAAACCCCGUCAUGAUUUCAUCCACCCCGACUUUAGCAAAGCCAGCUGGAAUCUCACGGCCAUGCCAGCGUGCAUUAGGGCCAGAAGGUAAAGCUUGUCCGACGGCCACCUUCAUGGAUAUGUUCUUGAAUUUCUGAUGGAGUUCACAUGAUGUUGACUCCUUGAUUCCAUCCACGGGGUAGCCGGGACCGCCCUCUAUCAUUCUUCGUUCAUCGUCGGGCGGGGCCUCAGAUUCAGCCACGCUGCUUUUCCGCUUAGACGGGGCGCCGGUAAUAUCAAGUGCAGGAUCUUCCUCGCGCGGUACUCCUCUAAGCUCAUCAAUCUGCUUCUGUUGCUCGUUAAUCGUGGCAAGGAACUGGUUGAACUUGUCAUUCUCCUCAUCCUGUUGCCGCUUCUUUGCUCUCUCUCGGCUUCUGUAAGUGUCUUGGUCUCUGGCAAACCCAAGCCACCACGGGUAAGAAGGACCGAAGCCUCGCGUUCGUCCUCCAUGUUCGUCAUUGCCGAGGACCAGUGUGAGCAAAUCUUUCUCUCUAUCUGCAGUGAACUUUCUUCUUCCCUUCUUAAUUUCUUUCACUAUCCUUUUCCAAUUCUCCAUGGGUAUCCUAAGAUUGUCAUUGCAGAUGAGGUCCCCUGUUGUUUCGUCGUACGACCCAUCAUGCGCAAGGAACCAAUUUCUUGCUCUCAAUUCCCACUCAUCACAGAGUGGUUCAGGUACGACGCCUUUAUCUAUCAGAUCUUGCUCUUUCUUAUCCCACUUUGGGAUGGCACUCUCAUAGCCCCGUGGCCCCAGCUUGUGGUGAUAUAUCUUCUUGUCGGCAUUUAUCUUGUUCUUUUCUGAUAAUGCCUGGGCAUCUUCUGACUCCUUGUACUCUUGAAAUGCCUUCCAGUGAUUCGCCUACUUGGCUAGAUACCCCUCGAAUACUGGCACUUUCUGUGUCUUCAGAUAGUUUUUCCAUAGCUUCUUUUUCCAGCUACGGAACAGUUCAACCAUCUUCUUCAGAGUCCACUGCUUGACUUUGGCCCUCAGUUUGUCUGCGGCGUCUUCAUUCUCACAUUCUGGCAGGUUGACAUGUGACAUGAGAUCAUUCCAAAGAUUAUCUUUGUACCUUUCGGCGACAUAGUCACUAUCGGCUGCCCCUUUGCGCUUGUUCCACUCCCGAACGCUGAUCGGGACGUGAUCCCUAACGAGAACUCCGCAUUGCUUCUUGAAUGUGUCAGCAACAUUCUUAGGAAGCUUGGGUUCGCCCGUAGGAAAUAUCACCUCAAAUGUGUAAUGCGUCCGUGCAUCCAACUUUCUAGUCGGGCCUCGUUUCGUAGUUUUGCUCGAUGUGGAGGCCUAAGAGGGAGAAACAUUCGUCAAAUGAAUGUAUAUGUAUACAAUAUAGAGCUAUCUCCAAUAUUUUUCACAUAUUGCAAGUGAUUGUCGAACUUCAUAUGUAUACCUCGCCGGACUUCUCCUCUUCACCGGCUUCUCCAUCAGUGGAGCUAUCACCUUCUCCGUCAUUGGACCUAUCUCCUGCCCCAUCGGCUUCAUCUUCGUGUCGCUCGACCUCCAUUCCAACGUCCUGGUUUAGAUAUAACGACGGAGAUUCAGCUGGUUCAACGUCGGGGCCGUCUUUGAUUAUAUCUUCCAAAAGUUCUUCCUCUUCGAGGUUCCUGAUAUGUGGAUCCAUAGUUCUGCAAAAAACGGAUUCUCUUAACCUUUGUACCAAAAACCAAAGUAAGAGUACUUUUCCAAUUUGAGACUCCUAGAUUUCUGCAUAGUAUUCAAAGUAGGAGUAAUUUUCCAAUUUGAGCAUUCAAUAAGCAAAACCAAAUCGUAAAAUAAAGUAGUAUUCAAAUUUGCAUGCAUUUAAUUAUAAGCUAAUACAUCAUCACUUUUGUUCGUACAUCAUUGAAUAUUAUCAUUAAUACUCCUCGAAUACUAUCAUACAUAUAGCAUCACUAAUACAUCUAGAACCGUAGCGUGCGACGAGUAUCGACGCGGGCGGUGGACACCCAAAGAGAAGGAACCAUCACAGGAUCAUAGCUCCAGUGAGAUCCCCGAAGAACCUGCCAGGUAUGCUCGAACCUGCCCUCCAACACAACCAUGUAGCGACGGACAUGCUCAUCCUCCUCGCUGACACGGUGACGUACCACCUCCGCGGUGUCCGGAAGCCUCGGCACCCUCACUGGCCCACACGACCGCCACCAAACAAGGAAAGGGGUCAACGACGGGCUGGCUCCUCACCAACCUAUGCCCCCCGGAAGGUAGCACCUCCCAAUACCAGCCGGGCGGAGCCUAGUCCCGGACAGGGCCCCUCUGAUCAAGCAGGUGUCCUCCGCCGAGUCGACGACGAGGAUGCGGGAUAGGCAUCGUAAAAUGAACUAAAAAAAAUAAACUAGUUCUAUUAAUUUUCUUACUAAAAAUAAACUAUUAGCACUUAAGCAUAUACAAUAGCAAAAUUAAACUAUUAACACUUAUUUUCAUUUUUCUUCUCCUCCUCUUCUUUUCUUCUCNNNNNNNNNNNNNNNNNNNNNNNNNNNNNNNNNNNNNNNNNNNNNNNNNNNNNNNNNNNNNNNNNNNNNNNNNNNNNNNNNNNNNNNNNNNNNNNNNNNNUGAAUCAUCUGAAUCAGAAUGUCCACCUUCCUCGAGGUGACGCUGGCCAUAGUGGACGACUCGAAUCUUGCGGUACAACUCGUAUGAAACAUAUGCAUCUUUUGUUGCAUACUCAAUGUUGAUAUCAUCAAGUGGGCCCUUCUCCCAAAGUCUGUGCUGAGACUUUGGGAAACUGGUCUUCAUAUCAGCAUAUGAAUCGUCGAUCAAGGCAACUGCCAUACGAGCCAUCGAAGUCCUGUCAUGUUGAAGCUUGAAUAUCGUUUGGAGAUCAACGAGGCAAUCAGCUGGUAUCUCAAUACCGAAGCUGUGCCUCAUCUUCAGCCUGUCGUUCCUUAUGUCAACGAAAGCAAAAGUGACGCCGCUGCGAAGGAACUCCAUGAGUCUUGGACAAUGCUUGUCACUCCUGCAACAGAAACAAAUUAAAAUGGACCAAAUGUUACAUACUGCUGCAAUAAGGAAACAUGUUUCACUACAAUUAAAGAGAAACUUAUCUUUAGGAUUCAUAUAGAACAUAUGCAAUGGAACCUAGAGAGAUCACUACAACUAUUUGAAGCGAACCAACUAUGAUUCCAAUGGAACAUAUUAAACACUAGUUGAUUCUAAUACGAUUUUUCAGAUUAUGGAACACUAUUCCAAUCAGAUUGUGUUCCCCUUCAACUAAUCAAAAUUGUUUCACUACAACUAUUUGAAGGGAACCAACUAUGAUUCCAAUGGAACAUAUUAAACNNNNNNNNNNNNNNNNNNNNNNNNNNNNNNNNNNNNNNNNNNNNNNNNNNNNNNNNNNNNNNNNNNNNNNNNNNNNNNNNNNNNNNNNNNNNNNNNNNNNGGCCUUUAGUCCCGGGUUGAGCCACCAACCGGGACUAAAGAGGUAUACCAAACGGUUGCCACCACUACGGCAGGCCACGUGUUAGGCUUUUAGUCCCGGGUUCAACCACCAACCGGGACUAAAGAGGUAUGCCAACGGUCGCCCCACUACGGCAGGCCACGUGUUAGUCCUUUAGUCCCGGGUUGAGCCACCAACCGGGACUAAAGGGGGAUACGAACGGUCGCCACCACUACGGCAGGCCACGUGUUAGGCCUUUAGUCCCGGGUUGAGCCACCAUCCGGGAGUAAAGGGGGAUACGAACGGUUGCCACCACCACUGCCCGCCGCGUAGCCCUUUAGUCCCGGUUUGGGACACGAACCGGGACUAAAGGCUCCUUACGGGCCGGGACUAAAGACUCGAGGGAGGCAUUGAGAAUUGGGGCGACGUGGCCGGGCCUUUAGUCCCGGCCCAGAGGCACUCCGGGACUAAAUGGUCCAGGCCAAAGGCCCGUUUUCUACUAGUGCAACAAUCCAUCUUAUUCGCACACCAUCUCGGGGGCACCUGUAAGUUAUUAGAAAGAAUUUUCAGCGCUACGCCUAUGAAUGAAAUCAAGAAAACUACGUAGAAGGACUUAAGAAUAGGUAAUUACCUUCAUGUAUUGCUCCUUCUUCAGAAACUUUCCGCGGCAAUCCUUCUUCUGCUUCUUAAUACCACGCGUGGCGUAGUAAUCUCGAAUAGCCUGCGGCCGAGCCUCGUGGCGCAAGUUCUGUAGUAACCGCCUACACUCGGCCUCGAGAACCCUAGCCGCCUCCUCCUCAUAUCCAUCCUCACACCUAUAGAAGGUCUGCAAUCAAACGUGAAAACACCGAUUAGUACAAUAAUUAGCUAUAUUGUUAAUUUUAUAUUCUGUAAAAGGAUAAUUUACCCAAAAGCUCUUGAUCACCAUCUCGGCCCUCGUGUGGCACAAGACACCAUCUAUAAUCUCCUCCGGCGGGGCCUGCGCAGCCUGGUAGUGCUCCCAGGAAAAUCCUAGUGUAGGAACCUGACCCUCACCAGGCAACGUGACAAACCCCGGGAAAUAUGUCCGGCAAAGCACACCAAGGACGGAGUUCGUUCUGCGGACUACAAGAGGGUGUACCCAUCCCCUGCAGUAUGAUAAGGUCAACGCAUUAGAUAUUUGAAAAAACUUGAAGGCAAAAGCUAAAAAAAAAGAGUAAAUGUACUUACCUAUCUCCUUCAGGUUUAAUCACCGUCCUCUGCUCGCGGGUAGCCGACGCGACCGGGAGACGUGUACUACCACACUUGUACACGGUGGCCCCGUCCACCUGCACAUCGCCCUCACUAUCCGUAAGCUCAUCCCCACCAUCCCCGCCCCCUGAGCCACCCGAACCCUCGGUCCAAUCCGGCAACUCGGUACGAUCCGGCCAGGUCUCCCAUCCGGGCCUCUCCACGUCGGGUGAAGCCUCCGGAACCAUAGUCUCCUCCGGCUGCUCGUGGGCCGAAUGCACCUCGACCCGAGGCUGCUCCUGGACCGGAGUCUCAUGGGACGAAUGCCCAUCAACAACAGGAUCCUGGAACGGAGUCCCCGUAGCCUCCUCCGCAAACGGGUCGACCAUAGUAGUCCUAUGCUCGGGUGAAUGAGCUGGUGGUGGUGGCGAGGACGGCUCAAUAGUCCUCCUGGACCUUCCGCGGCCACCACCUCUCCCUGUACCCUUCCCCUUCUUCCCUACCCGACCAACACCUCUCCCAGUGGGCAAUGCCGCCGACGAACAAGAACCCACGGGUGGCGUCGACAGACAGUCUGACAAGGCUCUAUGGAGAGAUAGGGGUGGAAGGGAAGUACCACCCCUCGUGCGGGGCGCCUCGGAAGAACCUGUCGAGCGAUCUGGACCAGCGCCCACCAUCUUUCCACACCUGGUGACCUGCCAUGAUAAAGAUUAAAAGAAAUUAGUACAACAUAAAAAAAUUAAAAACUGACAUGAAUAAUAAUAUGUACAUGAAUAAUAAAGAUUAAAAUAUAUAUAAUUUAAGUUGUGAAUCUUACAAACUAAUAAUCAUCAUCUAUAAAUGCAUCAUCAUCACUAUCACGCAUGUCUUCAUGAAUGACGUGCUCGUCGGGUUCAACGGCGUGAAGUUGUGAAAGGACUUCCUUUAAUUGUUGAAGCAUUGACAGGUCAUCCGCAUCAGUAACCUCUACGAGUUCCAGGUCUUCUGGUUCCGGCUCAGGGCUGGAGUCGGAUUCAUUGUCGCUGUCUACUUCCAUGUUCUUGGGUGAAGCACAGCGGUUCUUGAAACAUUUCUUGGAAAGACGUGUUUCUUGGAAGAAUUCUCCAUCAUAUGUGUCUGGGUUAAUGUGAGGUUCAUAAUCCUGUUCAUUUGGGAGAGGUGGUCUGACAUGUGGCGGCACUUCAUAAACAACAUACCAACCUUCCAGAUUCUUAUCCGUUUGGCAUGCCCACGGUAGAUAGAAAACUUGGGUCGCAUGUUGAGCCGUAAUAUAGACAUCGGGAACAUCUAAAUGGGUGUUUGGAUUGAUUUCGACUAGUCAUAUAUGCUCAUGAGUCCUUCUAGUCUUUUUCGGCUGGAACCAAUAACAUUUGAAGACUACGACGUUCGGUGGGUUUUCACCAUAGAAUUGAAGUUCAUAAAUUGCUUCAACUCUUCCAUAAUACUCGAUAACACCUUCGCCGAUAGCAGAGACACCACAGUUUGUAGAUUUCCAGUCGGGCAUAGAUAGCUCUUUGCCAAAGGUACGAAAGAGAUACCCGUUGAUGUUGUAUUUCUCAAAUGAACGGACCUUAUAGUCAAAACCAUUAGCAACUUGUCUCAAUUCGGCGUCCAUAGACUCUGAAUUAGCCUACAAGUUUAAUACGAAACGGUUGUUGCAUUAGCCGCAAGUUAGACCAAGAAUGAAAUGGUCCAUUAUUGAUAAUUAUCGUUUGUUUGAACCAAGAGAUGAAACCGGGAUAGCCGCCUCCUGUCUUUGACAGAAGCUCAUACUCUUCGACGGAAUCAUUUUCGAUCACCGCUCCAUCCGAGAAUUUGGCGACGUAACGGUUGUUUGAAAUAUCCGGGAAUAAGAGCAGUUCAAAUGAAUUAGAAGUUACGGGAAAAUGUGCCGAGAACUCACUCGAUGUAUGGCCGCACUUCUGUUAGGUUGUUGAAGAUAUACAACAAAAUGUUCCGCCAUUCUUCGACAUCCAACGUUAUUGGUUUCGAAGCACCGGCUGGUGCGAGCUUCCCUUUGAAUAGGCUGAGGUUGGACCCACCUUUUUUAGGGUCUGCAUCAUUGUGCCGAGGCUUCGGAUUAUGCAAAUGAUGAUUUUUGGCUUCAUAGUGUGCUGUCAUAAAGUUUGCCACCUCCUCAGUAAUGAAUGCCUCAGCCAUCGAUGCUUCAAUUCUACGCUUAUUUUUACAUUUAGCUCGAAGGAUCUUCUGCAAAUUCUCAGUUGCAUAGCACCAACGAUCUUGCAUGGGCCCACCAAAUCUUGGCUCGGUCGGUAGAUGUAAAAUCAAAUGCUGCAUUGGAUUAAAGAAGCCAGGUGGAAAGAUCUUCUCUAACUUGCACAACAACUCCGGUGCAAACUCCUCCAUGUAUUCUACCACGCCAGGCUACAAUUCUUUCGCACAAAGAACACAUAAGAAAUAGCUCAGCUCCGCCAGUACUAGCCAUUCAUCCUCAGGAAUAAAGCCACGUAACAUCACCACCAUUACCCGCUCUAGCCAUAUGUGCCAAUCAUGACUCCUGAGACCAAAGAUUUUUAAUUUUUCAAGACUCGCUCCCCUCUUUAGAUUCGCUGCAUACCCAUCGGGGAACAUCAAGUGCAUUUUGACCCACAAGAUAAUUUCCCUCAUAGCUGGCCUUCCAAGAUUGAACCAGGCCUUUGGCUUCGACCACUCCUGCUUUCCUUUGGCUUCUCGCAUGUUUUGUAACGGUCUAUGACAUAGUGUCUCUUGAUCGACUCUAGCCUUAAUAUUAUCCUUUGUCUUCCCAUCUAUGUCAAACAAUGUACCAAAAAUAGCCUCUCUGAUAUUAUUUUCAGUGUGCAUCAUGUCGAUAUUGUGUGGAAGAAGGAGGUCUUUGAAGUAAGGCAGAUCCCAGAAGCAUGGCUUGUGAGUCCAGGCGUGUUUUGAAUUAUACCCCUUGAAAUACCCUGGACGCUCUGGAUCAGGCUCGAGGGCGUUUAACUGAUCCAGGAUUUGUUGGCCUGUGAACGCAGGUGGUGCCAAUUUUUUGACAACUUUACCUUUGGUAAACAACUUUACCUUUGGUAAAGUUCUUCUUGUCUUUUCUGAACUGAUGGUCAGGAUCCAGGAACUGUCUAUGCAAGUCAAAGCAAGAAUACUUCCGACCCUCCUGCAACCAAUGAAACUGAAGAGCUGCCUUGCAUUGGGGGCACGGGAACCUUCCAUGCACACACCAUCCAGAGAAUAGCGCAUACGCUGGCAAGUCAUGCAUAGAGUACAUGUACCACACAUGCAUUUUGAAGUUUUCUUUUCUAGCGGCAUCGUAUGUCUUGACCCCAUUAUCCCAAGCUUCUUCCAAUUCAUCCUUAAGCGGUUGCAGGUACACAUUCGUAUUCUUCCCCGGAUAAUUGAGCCCUGGAAUUAUCAACGUCAGAAAUAUGUUCUUUCUUUGCAUAAUCUGCCCGGGGGGGAUUGAGUAGAAUGAAAAAUACAGGCCAACAACUGUAUUGGGUUGUCGUCAUGCUGAAGGGAUUAAAACCAUCCGUGGCAGCGCAGACUCGAGGAUUCCUUGGAUCUGCCGCUUUAUCCUGAUGCAAUCCAUCGAAAUGUUUCCACGCUUCCCCAUCCGAUGUGUGUACCAUCAUCUUAUUCCCAUCCGCAUCUAGUUCGGUUCUUUUGCCCAAUUUGUGUCAUGUCAUCUGUCUGGCUGUCUCUUCGACCAUGAAAAUACGUUGAAGUCUUGGUACGANNNNNNNNNNNNNNNNNNNNNNNNNNNNNNNNNNNNNNNNNNNNNNNNNNNNNNNNNNNNNNNNNNNNNNNNNNNNNNNNNNNNNNNNNNNNNNNNNNNNCCAACUAUGAUAGAAACAAAUAAACUUAUAUGUGGAAUUCACUAUGAUAGAUUAUGGACAUUAUGCAUAAUAUGCAAACAAAAGAAAGCUUGUUAACUAGUAAAUCCAAACUAUAAACUAAGUCUUAUCGGAUUGACAAAAUUCGAUCCAAUGUGAAUUAUAAAUGAACACAAAUAAAUCAAUUCCUACUAAAUAUAAUAUUAAGUAUAAUCGGACUCUAGCUACAUUACUAAAUCAACACAAAAGAGUAGCAUGUCCUAUUCAACACUAAAACAUAUUGAACACUAAAAAAUUGUACACUAACAAAUUAAUUUCUACUAAAUAUAAUCGGAUACUACACUACUAAAACUAAUUCCACACAUACUACACUACUAAAUCAAAUGUACAAAUACACAAAAUCUACUACGCUACUUAAUCAGAUACACAAAUACAGAAAAUCCAUGUGAACGUGGGAGUAGUGACCCUAGGGGAGGGAUUAUCUUGGAUCAAAGAAAGCCUCAAAACUUACUUCGCCCAUUGGAAGAUCAAGACAUGGCUUGCGAAGCAUAUUUGGAUGACGGCAACACCAUGUUGAUCGACCGUGUACUCCAGAUCUAGCCCGAAGAACUUCUCAUGAUCCGGAGCGUGGUUAAACCAUCGUUCCUUCAACUGUUGAAGGAAAAAUGGCACCUCCGUGCUCAGGUUCGUGUACACGACACGGAGCUUCGUCGCGCCAUGCGCGACCACCUCACGAAAGAUAGUUGGCAUGGUGGAAGAAGAGAAGGGAAGAAGAGAGGAGAAGAACAGAGAGGGCGACGCGAGAGAGAAGAAGAACAGAGAGGGCGACGCGAGAGAGAAGAAGAACAGAGAAAUGGCGACUGUACGCUUCGGUUCGUGCUUUUCAUCGCCCGAAACGACGCGGGAUGCAAACCGUUUGGGCCUUUAGUCCCGGGUUGAGCCACCAACCGGGACUAANNNNNNNNNNNNNNNNNNNNNNNNNNNNNNNNNNNNNNNNNNNNNNNNNNNNNNNNNNNNNNNNNNNNNNNNNNNNNNNNNNNNNNNNNNNNNNNNNNNNGGGUCGGGCAAGGCUGCGGUGAGGGAGAGUGGAGAGAGUGUAGAGAGUGGGAGAGAGGAGGGCGCGGCGACCGUUAUCGUUAAUUAGGUGUCCAUCCACUUCGUCGUCUGCCGCAGACGGCAAAGGAAGAGAAGGCAGACGACAAAGGGGUGGGGUGGGCGCGGGUGGGGUGGGGCAAAGAGGUGGGUGAUGGCGUCAGCUUUGUCGUCUGUCUUCUCUUCCUUUGUCGUCUGUGGGCGGACGGCAAAGAGGUGGCUAAUGGAAAAUAGGUAUUUUGCCAUCAGCCACCUCUUUGCCAUCUGUUUUCCUGAAGCUGAUGGAAAAUAUGUUCUUUGCCGUGUGCUGGCUGAUGGCAAAGAUUUGGCAGACGACAAAUAAAGGAAUUCCAGUAGUGAGGGAGAUGGGGGUUUGUGGCUUCAAUUGAUUGAGGCCAAGUACCUUCGAGGCCGACCUCUCUUGGCAUGCUCUCUCGCGAAUAGUUCGCAGUUCUGGAAGUCUAUCCAGAACAUUAAGCACGAUAUUAGGUUGGGCUUGCGGAUCUCGGUGGGCGACGGGUCUGGGACCCAGUUUUGGUUAGAUCCCUGGUUGGAGGGAGAGCCUCUGCGAUUCCGUUUCCCGAGACUCUUUGCUAUUUGUGCCGACCUGCUGUCCUUGUUUCUGCAUCUGCUCUGGAAGACGGAUGGCAUGUUGCAUUCCGCCGUCCCCUUGGCCAAGCUGAGGUCCAGGACUGGGAAUUAUUAUUGGAAAUGACUCCCCUCCCGGCCUCAGCGGUUCGUGAUAGUGUCUCUUGGAGUCUUUCUCCCUCGGGAGAAUUCUCUGUUAGUUCGACCUACCUGCCGCUGUGCAGGAUGCCGGUCCUCCCGUGGCUAUCCCCACUCUGGAAGGCCCCGUUGCCCUUGAAGAUCAAGAUUUUUGUUUGGCAGCUUCUCCAAGACCGUUUACCUUCAGGGACUGAGGUGCUGAAACGCCAUGGUCCGGGUAACGACAUUUGUCCCCUGUGCCAUGUCCCAGAGACUGGCUCUCACAUUCUGUUCUCAUGCGUUGCGGCACAGGCACUAUGGUGCUUUGUACGCGAGGCUCUGGGGCCGGAGUGGGAGGCCUCUGACCUUGCAGAUUUUCUGCAGGUGCGGGCCACUCAGGUCGGCCAUAAACGCCGACUGUUUUGGAUGGUCUUCGCGGCUAUGAUGUGGACCCUCUGGACUACUCGCAAUAAGAUGGUGAUUGAGAAGGUGUUUCAGCGGCGUGCUUCUGACUCGUUCUUCAAAUUCCCUGCAUUCUUGCAGCUUUGGCAUCCGCUCGUUAGGACACGGGACCGGGACCGGCUUCAGCACUUCCUGGACGCGUUGAUGGCGGCCGCCCGACGGCUCUCCUCUCCCUUGCUUGCUGCCUAGCCUGUCCCCGUGAGGGCCUUUUUGUUUCUUCUCCUUUUCUAGGGCUGGACUGUGUUGUUGCCCCAGCGGACUAUCUUUUUAUUUCUUUGUUCGGACAUGUUGGCUGGAUUCUGGUUUGUGUGCUUUAUCUAUAAAGCGGGGCGAAAGCCUGUUUUGAGAUAAAUCUAGUUUUUGAUAUUCAUGCUUUAAAUUCGGCCAUGAAAUCUCCCAGAAUCAUUCUUUAAUUAGGAGUCAAUUAGCCACGUAUGCCCUAUUGAGAACGAUAUGCAGCUGCGUUCAAUCUGUCAUCAAAUUUAUAGUCCAUAAUCCCGCUUUAAGUAGGAGUAGUAAUGGCUCCCAAAUUCCUGCUUUAAAUUAGGCUAGAAAUCUCCCACAAUUCUUCUAUAAUUAUGAGUCAAUUAGCAGCAGCGGCACAUUCCCCCUCAUUUAUCAAAUUAUUAGCAAGUGCAGCCAUGGGCAUAAUUUUGAGAGUUAAUUUAUUCCCUUGUUAUCUCCGCAAUGCGUCGGACAAUCGUCUCAAACCAAACCCAUGAAACGCGGCUCGUCUUCGGCGUUUAUACAGGUGGUGCACUCACGCUUAUUUAUUCCCUUGUUAUCUUUUCAGUUCUUCUAUCCUUUUUUCCUCCUUCAACUGGAUUAACGUAUCCCAGUUUGUGUUUGGACUAACUGAACUGUGUCAAUGAACAUGUAUUUUUUAUAGACACGGUGCUUUCUAAAGCCGAUAAUAAUGCAUUCGUGCAACCCUUUCAUGAUGUGUCUAUUCUUCUUAUACUCAAGCCUUAAUAUGCACUAAAUUUGUCUUAAGAUGUUGCCAAACUAGUUUGCCUGCCUCAUGUGUUUACCCUCUACAUUCCCGAUUAUUCGGCUAGAAGAUAAAGGGAGCACCUCUGCGAUUGUUACGACUGAGUAAUCCACAUACGUACCUCACAUGAGUGAAGUCUAAAGCUAGGUUUCUUAAUGACAAAUUGGUCCCGCAAAGGGAAUGUGACAAUAAUUAGGUGGUUAUCACCAAGGGUUAAAAUUCACAAGCAUACACUCAAUCCGCACACAACGGAUGCUCACAAACCGUGAGAAAGGAACCUAUAAAGGAACUAUUUUCUUGGAAAUAUGUUUCUUAGUAAGUAAAAGUAAUAUAACAUAACUCCAUGAUAAUUAUCUAUCUAUUAGCACCAUAUGGCCUGGUUGCCUGGUUCUCCGAGCUGUUUACCUAUUUUACAGGUCACACAGUACGAAACACUUCCUGCUUUCUAUCAAGGGAGGCAAAAGCAGAUCGUCAGUUAAGAUAGUAUUAACACAUUAGAUGGAGAACAAAGUGAUAUAAAUACUUAGUUGCAUAAAAUCACGCAUCGGGUUGUUGAUCUAGGUUAUCUAUUAUUACACCCACGCGACAAUCUUGUUGUGACAAGCAUGCGGAGGGCAUCUAAUGCCCCAGAUGUAAUCCUUGCCAUAUUGGGAUCCUUUCCUUUUGUGGAACCAUAUUUUGAAUGUUAUGAAGUCAUCAUUUCAUGUGGAUCAUUUUAUGUCAUCAUCUUUGCAUCAUGGCAUCAUUUUUUUCUUCUUUUGCUUUGUUUCAUUCUUGUUGGUUUGCUAGCUUGCUUGUGGUGGUGUGUGAUGAUGUGGAGGUUACCAAACAAUGCUUACAAACACAUUGCUUUCAUUAUAUGUCAAAACCUUCUCCCCCUUGUUAUUUAUUUAACUUGUGUGUCAAACCUUCCUAGAACUUGUUUUAAAAAUGUUAAACAUUUAGUGUAUUAUCUUGUGAUUGAGGGGGUAUUGUCUUGGGGUUUUAAAACUCAAGUCAUGUGGGGUUUUUAUUUACAAAACAUCAUAUAAAAUCCCUGGUUUGGAUAUAAUUUAGUUGUCCUAAAAAUCAGUUUUGUAUUUUAUUUAAAUAGGGCAUAAUUCCCUCAUGUCCCCAGUGUUCUUAUUUUUAUUUUCAAAACCCUGUGUUGCUCUGGGUAUUUUGUUUUGCUGUGAGGUUUAUUUUAAAAGAAAACCCUUUUGUUUCUUCUUUCAAAGAGAUCCAGGUGGGCUGGCUCCCUCCUCUUACCUGGGUCUUGCCCUUUUUCUUCCUUUCCUUCGCGUAGCAGCCCGCUCGGCGUCCCUCUUCUUCCCCUGACGUCGUUGCUUUUCCCCUCCUUUCCGUCAGAGAGAGCGUCGUCGUGUGAGAGAGAGAGCUCCUGAUGUCGUGGCUUCACGGAUGUCGAGGCCAUUGCCCCAGCACCUAUUUAAUCCCUCGACGUGCGGGCCUCGUCCUAGGGUUCCUCUCCCUGCCGCCACCUCAUUCCCAUCUCUCUCCUUCUCCUCUGCAGGUAAGACUCCAGUGAGUUCAUAGAGAGCGCCGCUCGUCGCCGUCGUCCCUCCCCUCGUCAUCGGCGCGUCCCCGUGGAAUCCGAGCAUGCAGGGAGGAUGUCGGAUCCUCCUCGCUCCAUUCCCGGCACUGGGAAGGGGGAUCCCUCCCUCUGUCGGCCCCUCCUCGCCGUCGUCGUCUCGGGUGAAAGGAGCAGAGGGUCAGCGCCGCGUCGCCUCUUCUUCCUCUCCGUCGAGCCGCUCGCCCUCCUCUUCUUGUCAUAGGGUGAGCCUUCGACGUCUCCUCCCCCUCUCCCGUGUGUGUGUCCGCUCGUGGUGCCGGAGUUGCGCCGCCGUCGUUGUUCUGCGCGGUCGGUUACGCAGCCGCGUCGAGCCGCCGUCUUAGGGUCCCUCCACGUGGGUUAGCCACGUGAAUGGGUUCCCCAUUCCUCCCACGUCCCGCGCCGUAGCCGCCGUUCAGUUUAGAUCGCUGGAGCGUCGGCGGAGAACCUCCGUUGUUCCGGCCGUCGUGGGUGUGUGCAGUAGGAGCAGAGGGGGCUGCUCAAAAGAGCAUCUCCCCCUCUCUGUUAAGAUUCGAACGAGUAGCGUAGUGGCAACGGAGCUUGGGCAUGCGCAGCGCGUCGCGGGUUCGAUCCCCCGCAGGCCCCCUUUUUUCCUUUUCUAUAUUCGCUAGAAGCAGAGCAGUGCAGAGAAGUUAGCCUGCAUCCUUCCCCUUCUGUGUCGAGUGCCGAAGCAGUAGCAGGGUGGUGAGCGUGCAUGUGGUGGCAAUAGGAGGUUGUGGGUUCGAAACCCAGGGCCUCCCCAUUUUUUUUGUUUUUCCUUGUNNNNNNNNNNUCUAUUCUUGUAGUGUGUGUGUGUGAGCACAUGCAUGUGUGUGGGUUCGAAACCCAGGGCCUCCCCAUUUUUUUUGUUUUUCCUUGUAUUGUUUUCCUUUUUCUUUUCUUUUGCUGCAAGUAGUGUUGUUUAGUUUCUUUUAACAAAAACCAGGGGGGGUGCUUUAUUUCUUAUGAGGCCUAGAGGACAUGUGAGUGUAGGUGUGAGCACAUGAGUGCAUGUGUAUGUGUAUGAGAGUGUAUGUGUGUGGACAUGAGUGCAUGUGCAUGUGUAUGUGAGUGUGUGUGCAUGGGUGCAAAUGCACACGUGCAAGAGGGCCUAACCCUCAUGUUGCACCUAUUCUUGUAGUGUGUGUGUGAGCACAUGUAUGUGUGUGUGUGUGCUCAUGCAUGUGUGUGUGUGAGUAUGUGUGCAUAUGCACUUGUGCAUGAGGGCCUAACCCCUCAUGCUUGCCACUAUGGAGUGGUGUUGUUGUGUAUAGUGCUUGUGUGUGUGCAUGUGUAGGUGUAGAUGUGCAAAAUGUGCUAGUUUUACAUGUGAUGUUAUUCUUUUAUAGCUUAUUGGAAUCUAGGUGAUAUUUUUUCGAGCUAGCUUUGUGCCUUGAUGUUACAUGCAAGUACCCAUGUAUUACAUAUGAUUUUGGGGUAGAAUCAUCCCAGGAAUCCAUUGGUGCAAUCAGAUUUCACUUUAGAGCAACUUCAUAAAACUGUUAUUUUCUGUCAUGAUGCCAUGUUUAGUGCUUUGUAUUAGGUGGUGCCUUGACCCUUUGAGGAUGAAUCCUUGAUGUAGUGCUAGUGGGUGAACCCCUCUACAACAUGGAGUCUUUGUUUAGUUCUUAGGAAUUUUUAUGCACCUAUUGUGCCCUGUCAAAGUUGACACUUGGCUGAAACUGACAGAUUUGUGAAACCUUGUGAUUUUCACUAAGUCUGGGAAUCUGGUGUUAUUUUCUUCCCCUGUUGUCUUGAAUGAAUUAGCUCCUGUGUUGGGAAUCAGCACAUGCAACAAACUAAAGUUUGUGAGAUUUUAUGUUUGUUUAGCUCCCUGUUAAAUUUCAUGCUGAUAUACUUUCUGUAGAUAUCAUUUUGAAGGCUGCCAAAAUGCUUCAGAGCAUAAGCAACCGGUGAAAAUAUGUGAUUUUCACUAAGUCCCAGAAUCUGUGAUAUUUUGUCCAAGUUUGUGUCUAUAGAUCUGAUCAUGGGUGAUUCCUUUGUAUUAACUUCUUGUUCAGGGUUGUAGAGAUUUUGGAUGGCUUCUGCCUCAUAUCUUGUUUGGCUUUUUUAGAUGGCUUUAGCUACUUUAAAUAUUGUAGACAAACUGUUGUGAUGCUGUUGAAAACAAAUUGCAUGUUUUUGUUGAUUUGAAGCUUGUGUGGGCAUUAUUGUUGGUGUGGUGUGUUCCCAUGCACCACCCCACUUAUAUUUUGUUGUUGAUCAUGUGGCAACCUGGUUACAACAGGGGAGUGCCAUUGGAGUGUGUUUGUGGCUGAUUUGAACCGUAGGUCUCCAUAACUUGUUUCGUAGUUUCCGGUUGAUCCCUAACUCCGUUCUCUACGUUCUUUAUAUGUUUUUGCAUCGUUUUCUCGUGAUGCACAUGUUCAUGCCAUAUUCAUGCAUGUCAAGAUAACUUAAUAUGAGGUUCUGUCCAGUAUUCAAUUAACUCAACUAAUGCAUAUGAAAGUGACUAGAAUAGUGAUGCAUGCUUCCUUCUUCACACAUGCAUCAUAUUGCUUAUUGCAUCAUGUUGUGUUGGUGUUCAUUGACUGUUAUCUUAUCUUGGGUAGCAUCGGGAUCAGAUAGCGAGUACGUGGAUUCUAGAGAGUACGUGCAGGAAGAUCCAGAGCAGUUCCAAGCUGAAGACAUCACAGGCAAGAUGACGUGACCUUGAUACCGUAUCUAGCUUUGUUAUGCUUAGAAUCACGUUUCCUUCGUUACAUGCUCGCUGCCUACCACUUGAUAUAAUGCCACUUGUCUUUGCCAUGAACCCCAAACACCUCCCUCUCCUAGCUAAUGUUGUUUGGCUAAGUAGGCUUGCUAAACCUCUAAUGUGUAGCUUUGCUAGUUGCAGGUGCCAGUUGUCUCAUGUGAUAACAUGAGUAUAUUGAUAUCAUUGUGUUUAAACUGCUAUUUAAUUAAUGCACCUAUAUACUUGGUAAAUAACAGAAGGCCUAGCCUUUUGCCGGGUGAUUUGUUCCGUUGUUGCCGCCUUAGUUUCGGUUACCGGUGUUUGAUUCCAUAACUGAUUGCUUCUAACACGUUCGGGGUUGUUAUGGGGACCCUCUUGAUAAAUCAUGUAGUGUUAAGGCUUGUCCGGCAGGACCCAACAUUGGUUUUAAUCUGCUAAUCACCUAAUAACAAUUUGCAUAGGGAAUAGGUACCCCGAGGAUUUAAUCAACAACCCGGUCCAGUGCUCCUCAUGAGUGUUGGUCCAACCCAGAGCAACUUAUUACGCUCCCCGGGGCAACUCGGUGUUUUGGCGUGGUAACCAUCGCUCAUCCGUCGUGUCCUGAGACUGAGAUAUGCGGCUCUUAUCGGGGUGGUCGACACAACGGGAGGUCCUGCUAGAUUUGUCUUACCUUAGCGAUAUAUCUUGCGUAUAGGAAUCCCGGUGAAACUUUGGGUCUCCUUAAAGUUGAGGUUUUCCUCUAAGGAAUCCAACGAGAUCACGAGAUUCGUGAUAGAGGAUUACUUUGCGGCCCGUGGGAGUUUGUAAUGGAGUAGUUGGAGCACCCAUGCAGGGUAUAAAUCUUUCACAAAGCCGUGCCCGCGGUUAUGUGGCAAGUGUGGAUAUUUGUUAACAUCCGGUUCUAGACAACUUGAAGUAACUCUAAUAAAACUGCCGACUGUGUGCGUAACCGUGGCUGUCUUCUUCGGAGAUCGUUCUCCGAUCGAGAACACGGUGGGGUUAUGUUUGACGUGGGUAGGUGUUCAGGAUCACUUAGUGAUCAAUCUAGUCUUCGAUCGCUCGCGUAGUCCACCAUAUAAUUACUCUGAUCAUCGUAAGUUAGCCACCAUAUAUGCUUAGGUUGCUGCAAACCCAUACACUAAACCUUCCUCACCUAAUAACUUGACUAGAUUCAGUACCAAGGUCAUUAGAUUGAUGAAUCCCCGUGGCUCAUAGAUUACUACAAACCCCAACAGGUACAGGUACGCCCGACGCAGGAGAUCCUGAUGACAACCAAUUGAAGUGGGAGUUCGAUGAGGACUCUGGCCGUCUGUAUGUGAACUAUCCGGAAGAUUGAGGUCGUGGUCGUGAUCGUGGGCUAGCAUACAGGAUGUGUUAGAUCAUCUGUUUUCUGUUUAAGUCCGUAGCUGGACCUGCUGCUACUCUGAAUAAUGUGUGUGUGUAAGCUAUAUGAUAUAUUCUUAACAAAUGGCAAGUGUAUGUCCUACUUGUUAAUCUUUAAUUAUGUAUUGUGAUGAUUAUCCCGUUUGCGAAACGCAUAGAUGCGCCCCUUUCCCCUUUUGAGGCCUCGUCCCCAAAUAAGGAAAGGGUCGCAUCUUAGUCGUUACAGGGCAUUACUUGGUCAUAAACUAGGUGAAGAGGCACCUCCUAACCAUCAGGCCCCUUCGGCCCUACUCGUGCCAGUUCUUCAGGAUUAAGCUUCGUAAACCUUGUCUUCACCAUUGCCCAUGCCUCUCGAGCACCUUCCUGGCAGGCCGAUGUUUUCCAAAAUUCAAAUCGGCGCCGAGCUCCUUUAAAGCACUCAACCAGUUCUGGCAUCCUUUCUGGAGGCUUCUUGAUCGGCCAUAACGCCUUCAGCAUGCUCUUCAUCGCUUUUCGCCCGCGCUCAUAAGCUAUGGACAAUUCCUUUAGAAAGUCACCACUAAACGAACUGGCUUCUUCCUCAUGACGCCCAGUCACGAGUGCUAUACCAAGGAAAUGGAAUUUUUGUUAAUAUCAUAUGUUAUAUUUGUAUAUUUACAAAGUUCGCUAUAUUACUUACCAAACAUUCCAUCCUUUAAUCUCUUGUUUUCUUCGGUGACUUGUGCCAGCCGAGUCUUUAGAGUCACAAAUUGGCUUAUCUGUUCUUGUUUUUCCGUCUUAAGCAUUUUAUUUUCAUCAACACUUCGGAAUAACGACUUGUAGGUGGCCUGAUUUUGAGAUUCGGCGUAUCUUUGUGAUUCUCUCGCCGCUUCUAGAUUUUUUUAGUUAACCUAUAGAUUCGGCUACUGCAAAAUAUACUUUCAUUUAAGGACAAUAGGACAACCAUCCAUGUGAGUUCAAAAUAAAAAACUCUCACCAUGUGCUUGUCUCGUGUAAUUCCUCACUUGCUCUAGUUCGGCUUUAACAACCUCGAGUUAUGUUCGGUAUGUCCCAAUCUCUUGGGAUAACUCCUUAUUCUUGUCCCUCGCAGCCUAAAGAGCACGUUGAGAGUUGUGUUUAGACCCUCAGAUCGUCCAUUCUGCCCAAUCAAAGAUCGGGGGCUAGUGGCUUGGGAUUUGUACACAACGGCAGAAUUUUAAACGCAUACCUUAAGGCUUGUUGACAUAUGGUUGUCUACUCCUUCAAGUCCUGAUUAGGCGGCUCUGAGGUGCGGGUCUACCAAACUCAAGCCGUUAAACUCGUGUUCGGAAAAUUCAGGAUGACGCAAGGAUUCUUUCCGACGGCGAUGGUUAAUUACGCUCUCCAUUUUGGAGUUGGUAACCAAAACCUCAUCAUGGUCCCCAGUGGACUGACCUGCAAGAGGGACCUCCGCGUUGUCCACUGUUGUUGAUGGGGGUGGAUGUGUUCGAUCCUACAAAAUAUGGCGACAGAUGUGAAUAUUUGUCGUUUAUUGGAAAAGCAAUGCUCGUAUUAAAAUUGUUACCUCUUGGCGAGGGGAGCAGCUGGAAUAGUCCUGGUAGAUGCUUCACGUUUAGAGGACCGUCCAUUGUUCGGCACGGGUUCGACAUACCCUACAAUAAUAGGUGCCCGACACAUGGAACGAUGACCCGUUGUAACAUGAGGGGAUGUUGUGGCACACGGAUGACCUUUUCGAGAAGGAGCUUUCUUCUUUUCCUUGAUCAACGGAGGAGGUAUCUUGGGAUAAUCGGCUACGAGGGUGGUCUCAGUGUCGUUAAUGCUCAUCUGAAAGAAGAACCCAUUUUCAAAGAUAAUCGACGCAUCCGGAUCAUCAUGGAAACCGGGGUUGUCGUCCUUGACAUAGUUCUCUGGCAGAGGAGGGAGUUGAUUUUCUCUACCACGCGCCUCCAUUCCUAUUUGAAUCUUUUUCCAAGGAUUUAGUCACACAAGGGACACUAUAAAAAUCUGAAUUAGGGAAGUUAAGCUAUACUGACCCAUUCGAUGGGGUUAUGAUUAGAAUAGUCGUCCUUGGUGUUCUAACUGAUAAAGUCUUCCUUUUCUCCUUUAUAGGGGUCCACCAAUACGACACCCAAUGCCGCUGGGCUACCCGGACCAUCCCGCUUGUAUCGAGUGGCAUCGCUUGAACCAUUGAAUUGCCACAGUAGAUGGGACCUUUGUUGGAUAGGUCAAACACACCAUCUUAUGGCCUCGUCCAUUACAUCAAUCAUAGUAAGUCGGAAAUGUGUCAACAGUUUUUUCCUUGGCAACCAACUGUCUCACCUCUGCGCCAUCUUCUUUAUAAGGGCUUCUUGGACGCUAGUUGAACCACUUAUUAAGAUGAGCGGUUGAGAAUUCGAGCAGACCCCUUCAGACAGGGUCAAAUAAAGGCACGUCUUUGAUAUAUAACCACUAUGACGUCCACUCUUCAGAAGCUGCCCUCGGGGUCCCUACCGGAUACCCAGUCCCAGCUAUGCGCCAUACUUCGGCUCCUCCAACUUCACAAAUAGUCCCACCCUUAGUUCGGGGGACGCGACAUGAAAAUUUCUUCCACAAUUCAAAGUGGGUUUCUCAACCCAGGAACAUCUCAUAGAGAGCGAUGAACCCCGCGAUGUGGAGGAUGGAUCCGGGGGUAAGCUGAUGAAGUUCGAUACCGUAAUACUCCAAGAGGUCGCGUAGAAAGGGGUGGAUACGGAAGCCCAUGCCUCGUAAGAGGAACAAAACGAAGUAUACCCUCUUCAUCGUGUUGGACAUGGGGAAUCUCUCUGCAAAGGCCUCGCCAUUGGCGGAGGUUAGCACGGGGCGAGAGGGUGCUAGAUUUGAGUCAGGCAAAUACCCUUGCACCUCAAGCUCGCUUAGACGGAGGCGUGAGACUGAGCAACUAGCCCAAUCUCCUGGGAGAGAGCCAUGAGGGCGCGAGGAUGAGCCUGGAGAAGACACCAUGUCUUUGUUUCUUUGGUGUUCUUCUCCACGUGUUGGAGGGGAUGGGGAGCGUUGCUGGGGGCAUGCGUGGGUUGUAUGAUAAGUAACUUGCCUUUUUUUCUUUGGGAAGGAACCACUUAUUUUCAUUGGCACACAUGAAUCGAGCAGUUGGUUAACCCCGCGGUAAGAAAAUAUUCAUUUUUGUGGGCUCGAUGAUUUUUCAUGAGUCGCAGAUGAAGGACAAUGCGGAAUGGGAUCAACCAAGUAUAAGGUGGAACUCGCCUCACAAGUCAAAGAUCGCAGAAACAUGAAGAUGGCGAUCCUAGACAACUGCAAUAGAGGUUAGUUCGGGGGCUACUAAGGUAGUCUGGGACUAAGGGGUCCUCGGGUCGUGUGUCUAUUCUCAUGAGCCGGACUCCCGGGCUUGUUCGGUCAUCAUUGGAAGUAUCGAAAUCAAGAUGGACUCUUCCGAUGACUUGACAUACGAUCCAAGGCAACAUAGUAAUCGACAUGUUCAUUCUCUAUUGUAGCCGACUUUGUGUAACUCUGGCACCCCUGGUAUCUAUAUAAAUGAGGGGCUCAUAGUUCAUGGGAUACAUUAAGGUCAUUACAAUUAGGGUUCAGACCACUACAUCUGGUCUGGAAGUAGAUCAACUUUGUACUCUGUACUACUCCAUCAUCUCCUCGAGCCCCUCGCAUUGGCGCUUGUCGUGGGUGUGGAGGGAGUCCUCCAUCACGUGCCGCAUAUGCUCCCCCUCAUCAUCAGUUAUAGGGACUGGUUGGGGUGGCGACGACAGUGAUGGGAUCAACGUGAACCUGGACGACCGACAAAGUAUGACUGCCGCCGCACGUCGUGUUUAUCGCGGAACCAAGUAUCCCAUCGAGUUGAGUCUAUGGCAUACCGGUGGUCGUUGACGAGGUCGAGCGGUAGGUGGGUGCGACGGCGGCGGAUCUCCUUGCGGAGGGCUCGGUCGCUCAUCGGGACCGGUGGGAUCGACACCCGAUAUGCGAAGAGGUCUGAGUUAUUGAGGAGGUGCACGUUACUCCUCGAGAACAGUGAGCCCGUCUCCUAAUACCUCUCGUAGAUCUCAGCCUUCACGUACGAUCGCAUGCGAGUAGCGGCCGCCGCCGACGAGAUGUGAAAUGAUGGGGGUGGAGGAGGUGGGGAUGGAGGAGGAGCGGCGGCCGAAGGAAGACCCGACCGCGUGGUCGUGCUUCCUCUUGCGGCCGAGGAUCCGGUGCCAACCCAUUUCGCUGGCGGUGAGGUGGAGAAGAGUAGGCGUCGGAGCUAGGGUUUGGCACGAACGUGUCGGCUUGAAAGAGGUCCAGAGUUUCCACAUUAAGAAAGACAGCGACUCGAGGCGUCAAAAAUACGAAUGCUCAUGCGAGUUGGGUCUUCUUGUCACAUCCGGACGAUUUGGGGGUGUACGUUAGAGUAACCCUUAGCCGAUCCAAAGAAAAGAAAAAAAAAUCGACGUCCGUGUUAACCUGAGAAAAUGCACCGUCAAGGCACAGCAAGACACGUGCACUCCACUGCAUGCCUGCCCUCCCCUCCCCUCAAGGUGCCUUUAUCCUUCUUCCCCUUCCCCUUCCCCUUCCCCCUCCCCAUUAUUUUCGCUAAAUGGCCCCUUCACAUUAUCCUGAACUGAGUAUGUAGAUACGCGCAGACAUGGAUCUGGAACCGGAGCGGAUACCCAUCCGGGUCCAGAUCUGGACCGACCCCUUCUCCCGCUGGCGACGAGCCCCUAGCUAGCUAUCUCGGACCAGUCCGGCUGCGAGAGGCCACCGGCGGCAUGGCUGCGUGCGGCGGCAAGGCCGAGUGCAAUGCGAGCGCUCUACUCGUAUCUGUCCGAAUCCUGUCGCCACGCCCGUCCCGCUCGCCGUGGCCGCUGAUCGCGCGCGUUUGCUGGGGCCGCGUCCCUCCCCGGACGGCGGCGAUGAUGGAGGGAGCCGCCGGCGCCGGCCAAACCCCCGAACGGCGGCCGCUCCUCGGGGCCAACUCUCGCCGCGCCGGACCGCGCAUCGGCUUGGAGGCCCCUCGGGGCUGCNNNNNNNNNNNNNNNNNNNNNNNNNNNNNNNNNNNNNNNNNNNNNNNNNNNNNNNNNNNNNNNNNNNNNNNNNNNNNNNNNNNNNNNNNNNNNNNNNNNNUCCGGCGCAGGAUCUGAGUCGCCGUCGAUGGAUUUCGCGUAGCCUGGCUUCUUUUUCUUUGGAUCCGGUGCGUGCGUGCAAGCUCUCUCUCUCUCUCUCUCUCUCUCUCUCUCUCUCUCUCUCUCGGUGCGUGCGUGCGUGCGCGCAUUGCACACCACUAGACCCAAACCCUAAACCAAAUCAGGGGAGCUCUCGUUGCCGGAUCGCUGGCCUAUCGUCCGGAUGUCCGCCGCGUCAGUUCCCCACAGCUACGGUGCCGCCAGCCACCGCCGUUCCAUUGCCUUGGAUUCGGCUGUGCUCGUGGGCUGGGAACCGUGCUCUGUUGUCUGAUGCGUCGUUGGAGCGGGAGGUUUGAUCGGUCGAGGCCAGGUAUGAGCAGCUCCUUUGCUGGCUGGAUGGAUGGAUGUAGGUCAUAUGUCGUGAACUAACACCACGACACCUCUUUUGGAACGGAGGGAGUAUGUAUGUACGUAUGGAUGUCAUGGUCAUGUUGCUUGGGGGUUCAACCUCUUUUUGCGUUAGGGUUCACUUCGUGUGUUCUUUCGCUCCAGGGGUCAUUUUUGUCAAUUUUGCCCCCCUCCCCAUUAUUUUUGCUAAAUGGCCCCUUCACAGGAGUAUGUAGCAGAGCAUCUACAGCCAUACAUGGAUCUGGAACCGGAGCGGAUACCCAUCCGGGUCCAGAUCUCGACCGACCCCUUCUCCCGCUGGUGACGAGCCCCUAGCUAGCUAGCUCGGACCAGCCCGGCUGCGAGAGGCCACCGGUGGCAUGGCUGCGUGCGGCGGCAAGGCCGCGUGUAAUGCGAGCGCUCUACUUGGAUCUGUCCGAAUCCUGGCGAGCCCUGUCUCCCGCUCGCCGUGGCCGCUGAUCGCGCUCGUCGGCUGGGGCCGCGUCCCUCCUCAUACGGCGGCGAUGAUGGAGGGAGCCGCCGGCGCCGGCCAGGCCCCCGACCGGCGGACGCGCCGGGCNNNNNNNNNNGUCCGCCGCGUCAGUUCCCCACAGCUAUGGUGCCGCCAGCUACCGUCGUUCCAUUGCCCUGGAUUCGGCUGUGCGCGUGGGCUGGGAACCGUUCCCUGUUGUCUGAUGCGUCGUUGGAGCGGGAAGUUUGGUCGGUCGAGGGCCAGGUAUGAGCAGCUCCUGAGCUGGAUGGAUGGAUGCAGGUCAUGUGUCGUGAACUAACACCACGACACCUCUUUUGGAACGGAGGGAGUAUAUUUUGGAACGGAGGGAGUAUGUAUGUACGUAUGGAUAUCAUGGUCAUGUUGCUUGGGGGUUCAACCUCUUUUUUGGAUAAAGAAGAGGGGCGAUGCCCAUAAUUAUGACUGGCUGAAAUAAUCAUGUCUUUGAGACAUCAAGACAGCCGUGGCAAGGUGGGACUAAAUAGUGUCUGAAAGUGGGUAUCUGCGUUGGAGUUGCUCUUAGAGCCCACCCUUACCUCUGUUGCAGCCUGUCCAAUUCAUCGCCAAUGUUGGAUGUUCUGUGCCUUGGACGGUUGUUCUGAUGAGGGCAUGUACAUUGGUUCAGUCGGAAACCAUCGGCAGCAUGCGGCCAUCUCAGUGAUAACCAGGGCUGUUCUCUUACAUUGUGAUGUGUGGAUUAUGCAGCAAGAGAUGUGGGUGUUGGGUUUGAAGAUUAAAUGCUAAACUGAGACCUCUCUUGCUAUGCUACAUAUACUCAGUUCAGUUGCAUUUUGUUCUGGAUUUGGCAUGGAUCCUCUUCACCUCCCCCCCCCUCUCUCUCUCUCACACACACACACACACACACUCACACUCACCCUAAAACAAAUCAGUCAAGCUCUCAUUGCGACUCGCUGACCCGUCGUCUGUCUGGGGGGCUGCAACAUCAGUUCCUCGAAUCUACGGUGCUGCCAGCCACCGCCAUUCCAUUGUGCCUUGGAUUUGGUUGUGGCGUGGGCUGGGAACCGUACAGUGUUGUCUGAUGUGUCAUACGAGCCGGAG